rnacentral:lncRNA from 1 species
AGGUACAUACUUCAAUCAUGAUCAUCCCUCUCUCAUUGUUACUAUAUCCACGAGCUUCUCUCUUUCUUACAGUGGUAUGUGUUUGGUUGAUGAUAGAUUCAUACAGGGCGAUAACCGAUGAGGGAAUGCCUAUGCACCAGAGGCCGUUCAUGAAGGGCAAGCUUUACAUCCACUUCACGGUCGACUUCCCUGACUCGCUGAGCCCUGACCAGACAAAGGCCAUUGAAGCGGUUUUGCCGAAGCCAAAGGCGGAUCUGAGCGACAUGGAAAUAGACGAAUGCGAGGAGACGACGCUGCACGAAGUGAACAUUGAGGAUGAGAUGAGAAGGAAGGCUCAAGCUCAAAGAGAGGCUUAUGAUGAUGACGAUGAUGAUGAAGAAGGCCCAGGUGGUGCUCAGCGUGUGCAAUGUGCCCAGCAGUGAUCAAACAUGCGCACUUGUAGUGAUAUUCAGCACUUGCGUUUUCUUAAACUUAUAUGUAUUAUUUUUGGGUCUUUGCUAUAAGACUUUUGCCCGAUUCUGUUGGAAGAAACUUGUCCUAAUUCAAUUUCUUGUCACAAUGUUGGUAACCCAUUCAGCAAACGCAAACGUAAAACUUGCAAACGGCACACGCUAGCACGAAGAACACAAUCAAGAUUUUGAGAAAACAAUGGUCUGGUAGAAUAAAGAAUGAGCAAUCAAAAUCGAAUAGUGUUGCUGAGUUUGUCGUGGUAAACCAUUGGCGCCACUGUUGCAAUAUAUAUACAUUUCACAAAAGUUAAUUGAAUUAUGUUCUAAAUUUCUAUAUAUACUAGAUGACUAGGUGUUUUGCCCGCACAUGUGGAUCUAAUUUUUUUGUGAACAUUUAUUAGUUUAUGUUUUAUUAAUUCAAAACCCAAAGUGAUAAUUUUUUAUUUAUAUUUUUUAAAAAAUUAAAUAAAACAUCAAAUUAUUUAUAUAUAACAAAUAUUUUUAUUUAUACAAAUGCUGUUUUAUUAAUAUUUAAUUAUAAAUAAUUUCAUAUCUUAAUUUUCAAUUUUUAUAAUAGAAAAAUAUUAUUUUAAAAUAACAAUAUAAUAUAUAAGAUAACAACACAAUAUAAUAAAAAUUAUCUUAUUAUAAUAUAUUUAGGAAUUAUCUUUUUAUAAUAAAAAAAUAUUUUUAAGAUUUUGGAUAAUUCUUAUUAUUAGUCGCGGGCAAAACACUUAGUUAUUUAUAUAUGACAAAUAUUUUUAUUUAUAUAAAUGCUUUUUUUAUUAAUAUUUAAUUAUAAAUAAUUUCAUAUCUAAAUUUUCAAUUUUUAUAAUAGAAAAAUAUUAUUUCAAGAUAACAAUACAAUAUAUAAGAUAACAACACAAUAUAAUAAGAAUUAUCUUAUUAUAAUAUAUACAGAAAUUAUCUUUUUAUAUGAUAAUUUCUUAUUUAUAUUUUUCAAAAAUUAAAUAAAACAUCAAAUUAUUUAUAUAUGACAAAUUUUUUAUUUAUACAAAUGCUUUUUUAUUAAUAUUUAAUUAUAAAUAAUUUUAUAUCUUAAUUGUCAAUUUUUAUAAUAGAAAAAUAUUAUUUCAAUAUAACAAUACAAUAUAUAAGAUAACAACACAAUAUAAUAAGAAUUAUCUUAUUAUAAUAUAUACAGAAAUUAUCGUUUUAUUUUUAAAUAUAUUUUUAGAUUUUGGAUAAUUCUUAGUUUUAAUCACUUAUAUUAUUAAAAAAUCAAAUUUGUUUUUAUUUUUUAUUAAUUUAUAUAUUUAAUUUAUUAAGGGUAUAAUUGAUAUUAACCACUCUAACUUUUAACGUGAGAGCUCCGUUGCAAAAAUUUACUUCGUAAAUAAUAGUAUAGAUAACUGGGCACUUGUUUAGAGUGAGACUUUAUACCAAUAUUUGUUCAUUAAAUGGUUUUAACAUUUUGCAACACUGCAAUUUUUAUUGACUAUAAAAUGACUAAUACAAAUGUUAGUUUCUUAAAUGUAUUAUUGUUGUUAAAGAGCAUAUUUUAAUUAUUUUUAAAAUUUAUUAUAUGCACAAAAAAAAUUAAGUUUUGCGGUUAACACAUAUCACCAAACCCGAUCGAUUGUAAAAUCAUGAAAGAGGAUCAGGUUUGCCGCUCUUGAUUUGCUUAAAGAUUAAAACGACGAAUGAUUAAAUACUUAAGAAUCAUAAAUGUGAUGUAUAAUUAAUUAUGAGAACCAAGAUGCAAAUAAAAAAUGAAACUUUAAAUUUAGAGUUUUGAGUAGAUUUGAAGUUUUAUUUCUUAGAACUUUGAAUUUGAAGUUUUGAAGUUUAUUUUAGAAUAGCAAAAAAUUCUAUAUUUGAAGUUAUAGAGUUUUUUUUUUGAGAUGCUCUAAGCAAAAAAAAAAACUAUAUAUUUUUUCUUCUUAAACAAAAGGGUGUUUCUAAUUUUCCAUAAAUGCCCAUAAGUAAGUAAGUAACCAUGCAAAGUUGAUAAAUGUCUAACUUAUAUUUUAAAAUAUAUAACAUUAGUGUAAAUUAAUCAUAGUUGGAUCUAUAUAUCUAAUAACAUGAUAUUCAUCUUAAUAUUUCCUAUCUCAUAUAUUAAUAGAAUACAUGAACUUGUUGAUGUAAUUUUCAAAUUCAUUUAUUUUCUUUAGAUUAGUGUAGAUUAAUCGUAUUUGGAUUUAUAUUUAAUAAAAUAAAACCUAACUUAACAUUUCAUAUCAAAUUUAUUAAUAGAGUACAUGAACUUGUUGAUGCAGUUUUCAAAUUCAUAUAUUUUCCUAUGAUUAUUUAGCUAAUUUUUAAAAAUAAAUUUCUCCUUUUCCUACUAGAGAAGAAUGAAUAAAAAAACAAAACAAAGUCUUUAAAUAAAAGGAAAGAUAUAAAAGGUUCUAGAGUGUUCGGCUGUCCCUACAAAGACCUGAACACAAACUCUUCUUCGAACAACUCAGCCACACAAACAAAACUCCAUCAAAAGCCUCUCCUCCCACCACUUUCCUUUAGGGUUUUCUUAAACAACGUAGACAAGAUGUUCAGAAGAGGACCUCCGAGUAAGAGCGAUAACACCAAGUUCUACGAGAUCCUCGGCGUCCCCAAGACCGCAUCACCCGAAGAUCUCAAAAAGGCUUACAAGAAAGCCGCCAUCAAAAACCAUCCCGACAAGGGUGGAGAUCCCGAAAAGGUCUGAAUCCUUCGAUCCCCUUUUGUGUAAUUCAAUAAAGUUAGUUCUUUUAUAGUUUGGUUUGGAUUUUCCGACCGGUAGAUGUCGUGUAAGAGGUUGAAUUCUUCGUUAGAUGUCCGAUUCGAUCUGAAAGGUGCGAGCUUUAGGUCAAUUGGUUGACUUUUGUUUCAUGUCUCUGUAUGUGCAGUUCAAAGAGCUAGCUCAGGCUUAUGAAGUUCUAAGUGAUCCGGAGAAGCGUGAGAUCUACGAUCAGUAUGGAGAGGAUGCACUCAAAGAGGGAAUGGGCGGUGGAGGCGGUGGGCAUGAUCCGUUUGAUAUCUUCUCGUCCUUCUUUGGUGGCGGUGGUGGUAGCCCAUUCGGUGGUUAGUCCCUUAGAUUCCUCAUUUCACAAUCUAUUUUGCCUUUGAAUAGAUGAUAAAGGUUUAAUUUUGUCGUUUUUGAUUAGGUGGCAGCAGCCGUGGAAGGAGGCAGAGGCGUGGUGAAGAUGUGGUUCACCCUCUGAAGGUUUCACUAGAGGAUCUUUAUCUCGGAACAACGAAGAAGCUCUCACUUUCUAGGAAUGCUUUGUGCUCUAAGUGUAACGGGUUAGUUAGUUAGUUCUACUUUUUACUUCUGUUUAAGUGCUUUAUAAGAGUUCUUCACUGACAUUAGUUGCUCUAUGAUGGCAGAAAGGGUUCAAAGUCUGGAGCUUCAUCGACAUGUAGUGGAUGUCAAGGAUCUGGAAUGAAGGUUUCAAUCAGGCAGCUUGGACCGGGAAUGAUUCAGCAGAUGCAGCACCCUUGUCAUGAUUGCAAAGGUACAGGAGAGACCAUCAAUGACCGUGACAGGUGUCCACAAUGCAAAGGAGAUAAGGUUGUCUCUGAGAAGAAGGUGCUUGAAGUAGCUGUGGAAAAGGGAAUGCAGCAUAGUCAGAAGAUCACAUUCAGUGGACAAGCAGAUGAAGCGGUUUGUGAUUACUCAUUAUAUCCCUAGUUUUGAUCAUUACAUUAUUCUCUGCUGACUUUCUAUGUUGAUAAAACAGCCGGAUACAGUCACUGGUGAUAUAGUGUUCGUCAUCCAACAGAAGGAGCACCCAAAGUUCAAGAGAAAGGGAGAUGAUCUCUUUGUGGAGCACACCCUCUCUCUUACUGAAGCUCUCUGUGGCUUCCAGUUUGUCUUGACCCAUUUGGACAAAAGGCAGCUUCUCAUCAAAUCCAGUCCCGGAGAGGUUGUGAAGCCAGGUAACGUACUUCAAUCAUGAUCAUCCCUCUCAUCGUUUUUUUGCUUCUCUCCUUCUUACCGUGUUGUGUGUUUGGUUUUUGAUAGAUUCAUACAGGGCGAUAACCGAUGAGGGAAUGCCUGUGCACCAGAGACCGUUCAUGAAGGGCAAGCUUUACAUCCACUUCACGGUCGACUUCCCUGACUCGCUGAGCCCUGACCAGACAAAGGCCAUUGAAGCGGUUUUGCCGAAGCCAAAGGCGGAUCUGAGCGACAUGGAAAUAGACGAAUGCGAGGAGACGACGCUGCACGAAGUGAACAUUGAGGAUGAGAUGAGAAGGAAGGCUCAAGCUCAAAGAGAGGCUUAUGAUGAUGACGAUGAUGAUGAAGAAGGCCCAGGCGGUCCUCAGCGUGUGCAAUGUGCCCAGCAGUGAUAUCAAACAUGCGCACUUGUAGUGAUGAUAUUCAGCAUUUGCGUUUUUAAAAAUUAUAUGUAUUAUUUUUUGGUCUUUGCUAUAAGACUUUUGCCCGAUUAUGUUGGAAGAAACUUGUCCUAAUUCAAAUUCUUGUCACAAUGUUGGUUUUGAGAAAUAAACUUUUCUAGUUCUCUCCACCAACAGUUCAAGGGUACGAAAUCUAGCUAUAGCUUGGACAUGGACUUAGUUAGGAGAAUGCGUUAAAUCAAGACACUAGACAAGACUAGUAUAAAGGUGGCUUGUACCUCGAUUUUACAGAGUCGAGCCACGGCUAGAAUGUUUUGGAGUUCUCUAGUGCUGUUACCAAUAUCUGGAUCACUCGUCUUAUCAGUGGCGUUUGCAAUGCAAGAGUGCUGUACCCAUUCGAUUCGAUCAAGUAUUCGCCUUGUCUAUUUGAUGACUGUCCUGUGAUCGGUUCCAACAUCAACACUCCUGGUUCGGAAAUAUCACGUUUCCACAUUCCUCAUCGGCACAUGAUGCUACAAGAGUUGAAUGAAACAUCAUAUAUAUAAUAUAUGUGCAUCAUUAUUGCUAGAGAUUAGCAAGUAUUCCAAAAAAAAAUGCUGUUAAAGAGCCGAUCAUAAUCAUGUUCUGACUCCCUUUAGUAUGUUAAUUAAACAAGAACAGUACUCGUACUAAUGUCUAUGAAGCAACUUACUAAUGCUGCUAUAGCUAUUUAGAUGCGACUCUUCCAGUUCAGAGAGCGGAUCCACCAAGAAAGAGACAAGAGAUGCCACAAAGGAUUCUGACAUUGUGUUUUAUGGGGGAUUCACUCCCACUCUUUUUGUUUUUGGCUUUAUAUAUCAAUUAAACGUUUUAAUUAACCCCAAAGAUUCUUUCAUUUUAUUUUCUAUACUGAUGAGAGCAUUUUAUAAAUAGGCGUCCUAAGUUGUGUUUCAACAUUUUAUCGUUAAGAAGAAUGCAACCUUCGCAAAUGACAAAUCGUAUGAUAGAGAGAUCCCACCUAAAAAGUUUGCAUGUAGACAGAUCCAAAGAUAAAAUGGCUAUAUGCUUAUGCGUAUAAAGUUACUUUACUGAUGUUAUAUUAUUAUCCAUAUGAGUUCUGUAUGAUUCAACAUGCAAUUCAAUCAACUUUAUGAUGCAAAGCCGUAAUUUCUUUUAUUUAUUUCCCUUUUGUUAUUGAAUUGUCACAUGUGAACCGUUCAACUCUAAAAUAGGGGUGGUAUUUUACCCGAUACCCGAUAUCCAACCCGAAAAACCCAAACCGAAAUAGCAAAAUACCCGCGGAUAUUGAUUUAGGAGAGAUUAAAUAUCCGAACCCGAAUAGAUAUCCGAAGAUAACCGAACAUAUGUAUACUUGUCCUUAUAUUUUUUUGUUUACAUCUCUUAUUUUAUUUAAAAUAUUUAUAUUGAUGUUACACAUACUUUAAGAUCAUAUAAUAUACAUAUAAUUACAGAGAAAAUGAUUUGUCACUCAAUUAAAAUGCAUGUCAAAUUUUUUAUUUCAUAUAUUAACAAAAGUUACAUUCAAAAUUUCAAAACAAUAUCCAAAUUAAAGUUUAUUUAUUUUGAAAUGUUAUCUCCAAAUUUAUCAAUCAUUCAAUCUAUUAAAAAAUAAAAAAUCAGUUAAGUGAAAUCUAUACUCUUAUACCAAAAUAUUCGAAUGGGUAUCCGAGUGUCUACCCCUACUUUAAAACAAGAAUUUUUGUUUUUUUUUUCUAUGUAACUAUAAAUUACGCUCUAGAUUAUGCAAAACUAAAGCUAAUAAAAUUUGAUGAAAUAACGUUUUCUUACAAAUCACUGAAAUGGUAUAAAUAAAUAAUUCGAUAAUCUGCAAUUUAUUUUUACUGGAAAAUAAAAAUCUAUACUAUAUAAAUUUCCCUCCUUUCCCCUUAUAUCAUCUUCGCGAGCGACGAUACUUCACAAAAAGAGAAAAAAAAAAAAGAAAAAAAAAUCAGAGGGCCAAAUCUCUCUACAAGUUUCAUGCGUUUUGAGAUGCUGACUGUGUGAAGAAAACAUCGGUCCUCCCCUCCUCUCCAUACAUCUCUCUACGAAUCUUUGCCUUUGCCUUCGCCAAGCAACAAUGAGCGUGGCAUCCCCCGAAGAAUCUCCCGAUUCAACUCACCGGAUCGAUUCGCUCAACGGCGAGCAGAGCGUCUACUUCGUCCCCUUGAGGUAUCUCCUCUCCCGCCUCUCCAAUCUUUCGUUGUAGUCCGUGUUCGUUGUAAAUCGAAUAUUCCGCGAAUCUGAAUCGCAUCCCAGUAACUGGGGGAGUUUGAUUCGAUUUGGUUGGAUUUGAAUCUCUCAGGGGGUUUCGAAAUUUGAUUUGAUCUAUAGAUUUUGGGAUCCAUUUGGGGAUGAAUAGGGGAUGUAUAUCGUAAACCUGAUCCUUGUUUUUGAGCUUCAUUAUAUGAUUCAAAUGUAAGCUUUAAUGUUGAUUGAAAUGGAUAUUGACUGUCCUCGAUUGAUUCCUGUACAAUACCUAUGAGCCAUUCUCUUAUUGCUGAUUGAUGAUUGAGCUGACAGCAGGGAAUAGAGGUCAAUCGCAGAUCUGCAAAAUACGAUUCUCAUUCAUUUCCAGAUUCAUAUAAGUAUUCUCUAAUGGUAGUGUUAGUGAAAUGUUCAAACUAAUCAAGGCGAUGUUUGAACUUUUGUAUUUUUCAGGUGGUGGAAAGAUGCUCAAGAGUCAACGACUUCUGAAUCGGUUGACAAAAGAGAGGUCUUGUAUACAGCAACUACUGGGUCGUCUUAUGGAGGCCCGAUGAAGUUGAUAAAUAACAUCUUUAACUCUGAUAUUUUGUUCGAUCUGAGGAGAGAAGGAGAUGGGUUACUGAAUGGUGAAACGGGAGAAGCAAGCGUCUCAGGCAGGGACUUUGCUUUGGUAUCUAGUGAUAUGUGGCUGCAGGCACUCAAAUGGUAAGCGGUUGUGUCUUCUGUGGUUCCUUCUAGAAUGACGUGAGUCAGUCUGUCACUGUCCAUGUCAAUUUAGUGUUGCCAGUUGAGAUCCUUUACUAUAAGUUGUGUUGGGAUGUGUGAGAGAAAGGACAGAUUAUUGUUAUGAAUUAGUGACUAUUGUAUUCAUGCUUGGGUUUCCUGCACACUGUAUCUUUCUAAAAAAAGGAAAGGUGAUGUCCUUAACUUGUUACCUAUUAAUUCUUUGCUCCCAGGCACCAUGAUAAUAAAAAUAACGAGAAAGGCGUAAAAAGUUUCUCGGCUGGAGGAGUUGACCGAGGUGAUGUUUAUCCGGUACAACUCAGGCUUUCCGUCUUGCAGGAAACCAAUUCGUUGGCGGUUAAAAUUUGCAAAAAGGUAUUUUCAAAUUCACAGCCUUUUUUAUUUGCCUAAUCUAGUGCCUUGGUGGUGCCACAUGUUCUUGCUGCUAUAUCAGUGCAGUGAUCGACUUUACCUAAAUUGGAUUGUUUUCCUGGUUACUCUAGAACUGAAGUUUCAUAACUGAAUUUUCCUACCAGAUGAGACAUUGCAUACCUAUAGGUCUAUAGAAUCUAUUUCCUAGCUGCUGAACUUUUGUCAUCUACGGAAUCUAGUUCUAAACUUGGAACUUAUCUUCCAGUUAAGAAUUAUGCUUGAACCAUACUAGAAUCGACUUAGUUUCUUGAUCUUCCUAUCUACUGAAUUUCUUCUAAGCUUCUCAGUUUUUGUUUCUGGUUCCAAAUUUUAUGUUUUACCUCAUGCAGGACAAUUCAGUUGAGUGCUUCAGAAGAGCAUGCAAGAUAUUCAAUUUGGAUUCUGAGCAGGUAAUGUGUUCCAUGCAUGAUCUGUUACCUACUAUGUACACGAUAUACGUGUCAGCUUUAUGCAUAAUUUAGACAUGCGAUAUUCAUUUGUAUUCGUGCAAUUACAAAGUUACCGGUAUUUUUGGUUCUGUAGCUGCGCAUUUGGGAUAUUUCUGGGCAAACAACCUUGUUUUUCGAAAAUGAUGUGAACAGUUCCAAGGAUUGUCAACAACAAACAGAUCAAGAAGUAAGUGUGACGCCUUCCCUUUUCCUUUUUCUCCUAUUUCCUUUGAUGUGGCAUUUCAUAUCCAUCAUUACUUUUGGCCCAACAGAUGCUCCUAGAGUUGCAGAUUUAUGGGUUAUCAGACUCCAUUAAAUUGAAGGAAUCGAAAAAAGAAGAUGGUUCCACUCAGCAAACCAACGGGAUCACCAAUGGCACUAAUGGUGGCACAAUUUUUAGAUUUGGACGGAGUAAUUCUUUGAGCUUUCUGGGAAAAGCUGGAGAAGCCGGAACUCUGGGGUUGACAGGCUUACAGAAUCUAGGAAAUACUUGUUUCAUGAACAGCUCCCUUCAGUGCUUGGCUCACACACCAAAGCUUGUUGACUUUUUUCUUGGAGAGUACAGUAGAGAAAUAAAUCUCGAGAACCCAUUAGGAAUGAAAGUAUGCUAAUCUAUGAUUUUCUGUAUAAAUAUCUGCCGUGACUGAUUAAUAUAUGUUCUUGUUUCUUGGUUAGCCUUACCAAUCAAAUUUUAUUCUGGCAGGGUGAGAUCGCAUUAGCUUUUGGUGAUUUGUUAAGGAGUUUGUGGGCUCCAGGUGCAUCAACAGUGGCCCCAAGGACAUUUAAAGCAAAACUUGCUCGAUUUGCUCCUCAAUUUACUGGCUUUAAUCAGCAUGAUUCACAGGUCAGGGAAUACACUUCAGUUUAUAGAAUCAAUUAAGUGAGCCUUCCUGAUGUUUAUUCGUGUCUCUCAGCAUUAAAGACCGCAUACGGGAAUGUCCCAUUCAUGUGUUUCAAUUUUAUUUUAUUUGGUAGCAGGAACUUUUAGCUUUCUUGCUGGAUGGACUCCACGAAGACUUAAACCGUGUAAAGAACAAGCCUUAUGUGGAAGCAAAAGAUGGAGAUGGCCGUCCAGACGAAGAAGUGGCGGAUGAAUAUUGGCGAAAUCAUGUGGCUCGCAAUGAUUCAAUAAUUGUUGAUGUGUGCCAAGUAAAUAUCUCAGGUUCCUAAAUUGUGUAUAUACAUCUGCUGACAAUCACGCUAAGGAUUGGGUUUGACUGCACAUUAGGAAACUCUAGUUAGUUUGAUUUCAGCUUGAAAAAUGUUGGAUGGCUUAAGCUGGAUAGUAUUUUUAGGUUUUAGGUAUCAUUUAAUCUAAGCUGCAUAUGUUUGAAACUUCUUCCAUCAGAUUGGUCAGUGCAAUUUUAUCUUCUUGAUUGGAAAAAUAUUUACCCUUUUGAUAAGUUUGUCUAGUAAUUAAAGUGUCCUCGGUACGCAAUUGUGUUAAGAAUUGCUUUGUGUUUGAUAUAAUGCUCUUUGCAGUUUGCACUAAACUAUCUGACUAUGUCAUGAACUUUUAGCAUCCUGGAUAUCCCCAUCUUUGAUUCAGUUCACUCGUUAAGAAAAUAUCCUGACAUUGAUCGAUCACUAAGACAAUUAUAUGCAUUUUCUGGUUGUAGGGCCAGUACAAGUCAACAUUAGUUUGUCCUAUUUGCAAAAAGGUUUCUGUUAUGUUUGAUCCGUUCAUGUACCUAUCGCUGCCUUUGCCAUGCACAUCUAUGCGAACAAUGGAUUUAACAGUCAUGAGUGCCGAUGGGGGUAGUCUGCCCGUCUCAUUGACUGUGAACGUUCCUAAGUUCGGAAAAUUUGAAGAUCUUCAGAAGGCUCUUGUUAUUGCUUGCUCUUUACCAGAUGAUGAGACUUUACUGGUUACUGAGGUAUAUUUCUAUAUCAUAUGUUGUAUUUCAUGCUUUGAUUCUCAUUUUGGUGCUUAGGCAGAGCAUUUGUUAAUACGUACAAUAUAAAUUCUCUUCUUUUGGUAUUUACUUGUUUAGGUAUACAACAAUCGGAUUCUUCGCUUCCUGGAUGAGCCUACUGAUUCAUUAACCUUGAUCAGAGAUGGUGACAAACUUGUCGUGUAUCGGUUAAAGAAAGAUGCAGACAAUUCUCCUUUGAUUGUAUUUAUGCAUCAGAAGCUGGAAGAGUAAGUUUGCCUAGUAUUUAAAUGUUACUUAAGGUUCUUAUCAAUGCAAAUUGCGCCCAGCCUGGCUUUCUUUGACCAGUGUUUUUAGACAUUAUCUGUUUGUUUAUGUUGGCAACAACAUGAUUUAAACUUCAUUAGCCUUUAUAUAAUGCAUCUCUGACAUGAUAUUCUUCAACUAAUAACUGAUACUGUAGUCUCAUAUUUAUGUCUUGGGGUACAAAAUAUGUAACCGUUUCAAUGUUUUUCAGGCAGGUUAUCCUUGGCAAAUCAAGCCCAACUUGGAAGGCAUUUGGAAUCCCCUUGGUCUCGAGGCUUUCUGAUGUUGAGAAUGGAUUUGAUGUUGAAAAAAUGUACCUGAAGUUGCUUAGUUCAUUUAAAAUGCCUACUGAACUCUUCACAGAGAAUCUUGAAAAUCCUAUUAAAGAAGAAGCCAUAGAUAAAGAAGUUACCGAUGGUACUACUUCAGUUGAGGAUACAAAUUCCACUAAUGUGAAGGAGACUGCUGAGUCUCUUUCAGAUCCAGACCCUGUGUUGAGGCUUUACCUAACCGACGACAGAGGAAGCUCAAUAGAAUCUGAAAUACUGAAAGAAAAGCCUGUAAAUAAUAAAUCCAAGCGGUUGAAUGUGCUCGCACGCUGGCCAGUAAAAGAGCUGGACGUUUAUGAUACUUGUCUUCUGAGCUCCUUACCUGAGGUUUCCAAAUUUGGAACUAAGAGACCCCAGGAAACCGUUUCGCUUUACAAGUGCCUUGAAGCAUUCUUGAAGGAAGAGCCUCUUGGUCCUGACGACAUGUGGUGAGUUGAGAAUCAAAAUUAGUUCUCGUAUCUAUCUCAAACUUUUGAUGCGUUAAAUCUUAUGAAAAUAGUGCACCUAGUUCAGUUGAUUUCGUUUUUUUUUUCUUUUCUUUCAGAUUCCCAGGUAUAUGUGACUUGUUUUAUUGUCUUUGCGUCUAGCAUUGAAAUUGUCAUUACCUUGACUUUUGCUAAUCUCUUUGUGCGCAUGGCUUGCUCUUUUACUAGUUCUCCAAGUUACUUUGAUCUUUGGUAGCUGACGUGAGUGAAAAAUCGUUUUUAGGUAUUGUCCUGGAUGCAAGGAACACCGGCAAGCCAUAAAGAAGUUGGAUCUCUGGAGGUUGCCAGAGAUACUGGUCAUUCAUCUGAAGAGGUUUUCUUAUAGCCGGUUUAUGAAGAACAAGCUGGAGGCCUAUGUGGACUUCCCGAUAGAUGGUCUCGAUCUAUCAAGCUACAUCUCCUACACAAAUGGUCAGACGACUUAUCGCUACAUGUUAUAUGCAAUCAGCAAUCACUAUGGGAGCAUGGGAGGUGGUCAUUACACUGCAUAUGUCCACGUAAGUGAUAAGAGACAUCUAUAUAUUUCUCUUGUAUGUUGUUUCAAACGUUUCAUCUAUUUUAAGCAUGUGUGUUGCAAAAUAAUGGAACGCUAGUAGAGUAGGAUAUCAGUAAACUGAAAGUUAAAUUAGACUGGAUGAGUUAUCUUACUGGACAUAUCCGUGUAGUGGGUUAAGUCCAUAGGACUUAUAAAUCUCUAACUCAUUUGUCUUCUUCUUCUUCUUCGUUUGCAGCAUGGAGGUGAUAGAUGGUACGACUUUGAUGAUAGCCAGGUGAACAAGAUAAGCCAAGAAAAGAUCAAGACCUCGGCUGCUUACGUUCUGUUCUAUAAACGUUUAGUUGAAGACAAAUGAAGGAGAAGCUGAGAAAGAGGUAACGUGCAGUUUUGACAUUGUUAGGGAAGGUUAUUUACAAACAUGAUUGGGUUGAUUCUCAUCAGUACAAGAAGAAGAAGAUCAAAGCAGCUGUGUUUGAUGCUUGUUAGAGAGAGAGGAGAGUAGGGAAGAAGAAGAAGAGCAAAAGCAGGAGAGGACAUGUUGCGGUUGCGGGGGGGGGAUUCAUUUUAUUUUUACGAAAGUUGUUUGGUGUCUGAUUAUUUCAUUUAAAAAACCAUAUUCAAUUACUAGAGUAGAAGGCAUAGAGAAAUGCCUUUGAGCAAAAACCCUUUGUGGGAUAUAUGUUCUGAUCGCUGUGUUUAGUUUGUGUCGGUUGGUUCUUGAGACCAAGAAAGUUAUUAAAAACAUGUCGACUUUUGAAUAACUGAUGCUUUUCUUUUCCUUUUUUUUUUCGAAUAAUAACGACAAUUCUAUUUUAUACCUAACAAACUUUAAAGAUGUGUAGCUAUCUGUAACGAGCGAAGUUGAGAGAGAGAGAGAGAGAGAGAGAGAGAGAGAGAGAGGAAGAGCUCGUUUGGCGUUGCUCAACCACUCGAUGGAUCCACACCUACCACUCUUCUUCUUCUUCUCCCCCUUUUAAACCCUAAAGAUCUUCUCUCUACAUCACCCACAGGCUCCAUCAUGGCCUUGUUCUUCUCUCCUCUAACCUCCGCUCUUCUCUUCCUCACCCUCUCCCUCGCCCUCUACUGCUCCAUCGACCCCUUCCACCACUGCGCCAUCUCCGACUUCCCAAACUUCGUAGCUCACGAGGUUGUCUCUCCACGUCCCGAUCAAGUUCCGUGGGAGAGAGACUCACAGAACUCUCUCCAGGGGUCCAAGAUUCUGUUCCAGGACCAAGUCCAGGGUCCCGAGAGCGUCGCCUUUGAUCCUCUAGGACGCGGUCCCUACACCGGCGUUGCUGACGGUAGGGUUUUGUUCUGGAAUGGCGAGAACUGGACUAACUUCGCUUACACGUCAAGCAAACGGUGAGUGGACUCUCUAUGUAGAAAGUUCCGGACCUUUAGCUUCAUAAUCUCUCCUAUAAUCAAAUUUUUAGAUAUUACGACUUAAAAAUAAUAUGCCGUACCACAUUAGUAUGUUUCAACUAUUUAGUUAACUUGUUUUUUGUUUUUGGUUGGUAACAACUUGUAGAACGGAGAUUUGUGAUCCGAAGCCUUCUGCUCUGAGUUACUUGAGGAAUGAGCAUAUAUGUGGGCGCCCUCUGGGUCUCCGUUUCGAUAAGAGAACCGGAGAUUUGUACAUCGCCGACGCUUAUAUGGGACUGUUGAAAGUAGGUCCUGAAGGUGGCUUAGCAACGCCGCUUGUAACUGAGGCUGAAGGUGUGCCGUUGGGGUUUACUAACGACCUUGACAUUGAUGAUGAUGGCACUGUUUACUUUACUGAUAGCAGCAUCAGUUACCAGAGAAGGUCUGCUUCUCUUGAUUCCUUUUUAACGAUUCUUAUUUUGAUUAAGAAAUGUGGUGGUCUGGUUGUGAUUUUUUUUUUUUUGUAACUGUGACAUUUUUCAGGAACUUUUUGCAGCUUGUUUUUUCUGGAGACAACACUGGGAGAGUUCUCAAGUAUGAUCCAAUAGCUAAGAAAGCUGCUGUUCUAGUCUCAGAUGUUCAGUUUCCAAAUGGUGUGUCUAUCAGCAAAGACGGUUCUUUCUUUGUUUUCUGCGAAGGGGAUAUUGGAAGGUGAGUAGUAGUUGUAGUGAAUCUGCUUCAAAAUCUUGAUGUUGUUUCCAGUGUCUGGUCAUAGUCCUAUCUUGAAGUGUAAAUAGACCUUGAAUGAGUUUUUCUCUUUGUUGUUGUUUGGAUGUAGCCUGCGAAGGUACUGGUUAAAAGGAGAGAAAGCUGGAACAUCAGAUGUGUUUGCAAUGUUACCAGGGCAUCCUGACAACGUAAGGACAAACAAAGACGGUGAAUUUUGGGUGGCGCUUCACUGCAGGCGCAACUACUACUCUUACAUAAUGGCAAGAAACCCUAAGCUAAGGAUGUUCAUACUGAGACUCCCAAUCACUGCAAGAAUACACUACAUGUUCCAAAUCGGGAUGAAGCCGCACGGAUUGGUGGUGAAGUAUAGCCCUGAAGGGAAGCUUGUGAAGGUGUUGGAAGAUAGUGAAGGGAAAGUUGUGAGAUCAGUGAGUGAAGUAGAAGAAAAAGAUGGGAAGCUUUGGUUGGGGAGUGUGUUGAUGAAUUUUGUUGCCGUCUAUGAUCUUUGAUUCCCUUAGAACAGUUUCACUGGGGUGUCUAAGUUUAGCACAUCCACAGAACAAGAGUUAGGCUUGUACGUCUGAAGAAGUAUAAAGGCAAGUAGACACAUAUGUUAAGUCGCGAAAAAAUCAAACCUAUAAUCUCUAUUGUGCUAAAUCAAAACAAACUAUUAAGAACAAAACAUAGAAAUAAUGAAACUUCACACCGAACACUUUAGUUAUAGAGUGAAAUGCACCUUUCAUAAGAACAACCAUUACCAAUUCCACAGUUUGCUUUUCAUUCUAACACCAACACAAUUUAGAUCAAAUAUAUUCGGUCUACUUGGCCAAGUUCUUGAAGAUAAUACAUAGGUAACAAUCAUAACAAUAGCAAUUAAGAACUGAUCCAGAACAGUAAUGUGAACGACACUGUCAAUUUACAACACACUGACCAACGAACAAUUGUCUUUACUGUUUCUUUAUAGUUUUAGUUUUGACAUAAUAGCACAACACAUAAGAAAGCGUAUCAUCUCUGAAACAAGCCUCCUUUUGGUCAUAUAACCUUUUCUUAUUUUUCUUUUUUUUAAGAAUCAGAAACUCUUCUUAUGCUCACACACUUUCGAACUUCCGACUCGGUAUUAUAUUAUAUAUAUAUAUAUAUAGCAGAAUUGCACGACGGAAAUCAUCUUCCAAUCUCUGCAAAGAAAAGAAACAAACAACGAAACAAGAUCUUAGAAUGUUGAGGAACAACCACUUGAUAAACCAAGCUGAAUCAGUUAAUCAAAGAGGGGAGAUCAAAACAUACCUUUGCCAACAAGACGCUGGCACUUGUUUUAUUAGCUAGAACUAGAACCAGCCGCACAUGUUUCUUUCACACCUCUUUCAUUCGAAGAAUGUUCAUCACCCGCUUCUGAUCUAUUACGCUCAUUGUUUGAUUCAGCAGGGGUGUGAUUUUCUGUGCCACUUGAUGAUGGUACAGAUGCAGUGUCAGGUCUACUACUGUUUUCUCUCGUUUCUAGACGUUCCAUCAUGCGGGACACAGUGGCGAUUCCAGCACUGACCUCUCUUUUAACCUCAGAGCCAAGUUCUGCCAUGGACGUGUUGCGAGAGAAAAAUCUAUCUUUCCAGUUCCUCGUGUUCUUUGUUAUCGAUUCCUUGUAUCUACAUUUUGUAUCAGGAAUCACUUAAGAAUUAAGACUACAAACCAAAGCUAGCCAGAUGGAGAUGUGAUACCUCGUCGAGACAGAGGUUAGACGAGACUUCAGAGAUUCAGAAAAUGAUUGGAGUUCGGAUGGUCCAGCUCUAUCUUGAUUACUUGGGGAAGACUGAUUAGGAGACCUGUGUAUGCUAAAACUAUCAGCUGCAUGUAAUUAAACAGUAAUAAGAGACAAUAAAAGGCGAGAAUUCAGGUACAGACCUGGUGUUUGAAUCAGAUGCCGAAGGAGAACCCUGGUGAUGAUGAGAAGAAGCUGGUGGUGGCUGCAUGUUUGAGUGAAGAGAACCCACCCCUAUAGUAGCAUUGUGAGGAAGGUCAGUCUCAUCUCUCUGAGAUGGAGAGGAAAGCAUGGGAGGAGGAGAAGGCGGAGCGUUAGGAGGAGGAGAGAAGACCAUGAACUGUGGAUGACCACCUUGAGUUGAUGACCUGCUGCUUCUGUGGCCUUCCCUUCUUGUCCCAUGUCUUGCACGGCCCAUAGCAGCAGCAGCAGCCAAGUGCUGAAUGAUGCGUUCUUCAAGCUCUGCAUUAUCCACCCCCGCUGGGAGCUGCAUUCAAGGAGGUUAUGGAUCUCUGUUCAGAUAAUUCACUUUGCAAAGAGAUGUAAUCAAACUCAAAAUUAUAAGAAAAAGAGUGACGCAUACAUGUUGUAAUUCAAAAUCGCCGAGAGUAGGAUGACGAAAAAUGGUGGCGUUUCUAGAUGGAUUGAAGCGGAGAUUCCUCUCCUGUACAACACCCUCGAGCAAUUCCUGACUGGUGAAACAGAGAAAGAUAAAUGAAACCUCCAUCAAAUAAAAAAUAAAAUAAAAGUAUAACAAGGAGAAAAAAAAACAAAACUAACCCAGUGGGGUCUUUGAGACUAAUAGAUUGCCAACACAUAGGGCACUGUGAACUCCUUUGACACCUGAAAUAUACAAAUGCCACAGGGAUCUGAUUAGCUAAGACAAACACAAAUUCUAGAGAGCUCCUCUUCUCCCUAAACCAAGCCAAAACACUCCAUGUUUUGUUCUUUAUGGAAAAGGACAGUAUGAAAACACAAGGGAACGUGACAAAAAGCACACACAUCCCAUUUUUGUAUACCUUUUGUCCAAGAUGAUCUAGAAACGAAAGAGCUAAAAAAAAAACAAUGAAAGAGAGAUUAUUACCACUCAAGGAUGCAUUGAAGAUGAAACUCAUGCUUGCAACUAGUCAGCUGCAAGAGAGAAGAUAGAUGGAAUAAUAAAAAAAAAACUGCAAACCCCAAAUUACAAAACAAAACAAAAAAAACAAAAACAAAAAAGGUAUAAUCUUUACAUACAGUAGAAGGAUCGCUAUCGCAGAAGGGUUCGAGACAGAUGCUACAAGCAUCAUCACAAGCCUCUUGUAUUCCCCCUUCCACGAACGCUGCUGCUGAUAUCAGAUUCCCUUCAGACGACGACGUAUCUCCAACUCCCUAGAAAAAAAUUGAACAAUACGAUUAAAAAAAAAAGGAUUCGAUUUGAUUUCAUCCUCGGGCACAAUUGAAAUUCAAAACCCUAACCUCCAUUGAAAUCGCGAUUUGGAUAGGACGAUCGAAGAAAUCAAUCUAGGGUUGGGAGAGAAAACGAAACCCUGGACUCAUGAUAAGAUAAAAGACUCUUCCUUUUCCUCUUCGCGUCGUCUCUCUGUUGUUGACACACACGAUCGAAGAAAUCUAGGGUUCCUUUUUUCUUUUUAUUUUUUUAUUUCAACGCCCAUUAAAUUAAAUAAAUAAACAAUGACUGGGUCUUAUUAGAUUAAAACACGUGUUGAUUCUGAGUUUUCUCCGUGUACUUUUCAGUUUUCACACUACUGUACAUUUUCUCGCUCGAGUGGACCAGCUUUUGCUUCAACACCAAGUUGGAUGUACGAUAAAGACAUAAGUUUCAUUGGUCUCAUACGCUCCAUAUUCUCCAUGAGGCCUCAAAAUUUCUGCAUCUAAAACCACACACUCCUCCUCCUUACUUUAUAAAGGACUUAGUUUGGUUUGAUUAGUUUCAUCUUAAUAAUACUACUCAUAAAGCUGAGCACCUUCCUUCUCCAGUAGCACGUUCGUGAUCAUUCAUUACUAAUCUUGAAAAUUUUUUAGUCUUCAACAGCCAUGAUGGUCUACAUUUAAUUGUUCUCUGAUAAAGUGUUGUUGUUUCUGGUUGUUGUCUUUCACUCUUUUGUCUUUCCAGGACGAUACUUAAUGUAGUAGUAGCAAUAGUGUUGAAUAAUUGUAUGGUUUAAAAGAUAAGACUAAUAUCUAAAUCAAAAUUCUUUUUAACAUUAUUAUAAAAUUAAAAACACUAUAUAUAUGAUGGAAAGAAAUUUAGACAAAAGAUAUGGGUUACAAAGCCUGCAGAGAGCAGAGAAACAAAAAACGUUGGGAGUCGAUGUUACAGUUUUACAAACUACCAACCCAAACCAAAGACUGGUCUUUAGUGUAAGGGUUCAAGUCUUGAAGAGACCUUUGUUGUUUCAUUUUACCUUCCAAUGUAGCAGAGACGAUGAAGAACCAUUGCUAAAACGAGUAUGCAUAUUGCAAAGAUCAACCCUCCUUUCCCUAGCAACCACUUCUUUGCUUUCUUCGCUUUCUCUAUCCCCGUUUGUGCCCUAUCCGCCCAUCUCAUCUGCACAAACAACAAUACCAAAUGAGAGACAUGUAACUUUAUAUUAAAAGAUUAGUCUGUUUUCCUUUACCAUUUUCUCCAAAGCUUCAGGAGAAAGAGAAGCCAUGGCUUCUUGAGCUUUUGCAGCAUCUUCUUGAGAAAGCUUCAUCCCCAACUGUUCGCUCAUGCUAGCCAUCAUCUCCGGAUUCAUAUUCUUUAUCAUAGACGUGAACAUCUACCAUAAAAUACAUUACAAUAUAUGAACAUCUUCUACAAUCACAUUUAUGUUUCCUAAAUAGUUAAAAUAUAUUUUAAAAAACAAAACAAAACCUGUCGCAUGGCUGGAUCUUUCAUUUGGUUUCUCAUCUGUUCCUGCAAGUCAGCAGGCGGAGCAGAAGGCAUGCUUCUUGGAGCCACGAAGGAACUAGACUCGCCUACAACACUACUAACCCGUGGUGGUUCAGAUCCUUCCCCAUCGCUGUACGAUGUUGACGCUGGAGCGUUUGCUUUCAACGACGACGCCAUGUUGAACAUCCUCUCACGCUCUUCUGGUGACAUCUUACUCAUCAUAUCAGACGCCAUUUUAAGCAUGUCUGGUGUUGGUGCAAACCCGUUUUCCCCAGGGCUGUCUCCUUUGAACGACGAGGAGGCUGCCUGGACCAUUUUCUGAAUCUCUUCGGGUGACAUUUUACCUAUCAUGCUGGAAGCGGUUUUGAACAUGUCUGGUGACAUGUCUCCAGCUUUGCCUCCGCUCAAAGCAGCGAGUGUGUCGGGAUCAGUCUUUGAAAUAAAGUUCUGGAACGUUCUGAAGGCCAAAAGGAGUGAACGAUUAGGAGACAAAACAGAUGAACAAAGACAUAUCUAUACAGUAGUUUGGAAACGGUGUUGAACCUGAUUGCUUCAGGGUCGUCUUUGAGAGCCUGCAAGCCAUCAAGAUCCGUUUUUAGACCACCACCGUUGUUGCUUUCUCGUUGUGUCUCAUUAAUAGGUUUAUUACUUUCUCCAGAAGUAACAGUGUUGUCUUCAGUUAUCUCUUCAAUCACAACACCUAGCAACCAAACAAAGUAACAAUAUUCAGUUGUUUUAAUAGAUGAAGCAGAACAUCGAUGCAGCUAAGAACCGUUUGGUGUGAGAAAAAUAAACUAUUUCGAAAUUUUAAUAAGAGAAUAAGAUUAAGAUUAUACCUCUUGCUGAUGCCUUGCCAGGUCCCUCAACCGCCAAUUUUUCCUUAACAUCUCUGCAUAAAUUAAAACAUAUUUAUUUUCAAAAUGUCGAUAUCCCAACUUCAGAAUUAACUAUAAAAAAAAUCCAUACCUUAGAACAUCGGCAAUGGUCUCAUCUUCAGGGGAAACUUCAUGGGCCUUGCUUAGAUCGGAUACGGCAUCCUUAUAGUUUUAUAAAAGUCAAUGAGCAAACAUAUACAUACUUACAAGGAAUCUCAAGAAACUUCCAUAAGAACGAAACAGAAGAGCUCACUUGAAACAGACCAAGAUCUCUGUAAGCUUGACCCCUUCUGUAUAGUGCUUUGACAUUUGUUGCGUCAUAUGCCAAAACCUGCAUUAAUAGUUAAUAAUGUAAGUUCAUCAGAAGAACACCGAGACAGGAUGACAUUAUCUGUUACAUCUACCAAAAACGAAGCUAAUAGAUUGUUAGAAAAUCAAGAACAUAAACAAAGGUGCAGCAUACCUCGGAACCUUCCUUGAUGCACUCUUGAUGCUGAUUGGUCCUCAAAUAACAUGACAUGAGAUUGAGGGAACAAGCCAACAAAAGCGCUCCACCUUUAGAAGACGGAAUGUCCUUCAGAUUAUUCUUCGCCUGUUAUAUGGUGUAAAGAUAUAAAGACUCUUUUUCUGAUAAACAAAGAAAGUCAAGUAGCAUGACAAAAGAUAUGAAGUAGUCUUACACGCAAAUAUUUCUCUGCAGCACCACUGAAAUUUCCUCUGCUAUGAAGCUCAUUCCCCUGCCGAAUACAUACAAAUUAGCAACCGUUUCAGGAUCAAAUAAUAGAAACUCAAAAGUAGUACCUGUUUUUUCAGCAUCUGAGCUGCGUUGAUUUGAUAAGUGAAGUGAGCAUCAGCUUGGGCACGCAUAGCUGCAAUCUCCUCAGGGGAAGCAUUAGCCAUCUUCUCGCCAAUCUGAGCCAUAUCCUCAGGCCUAGUAUGCUUGAGCUGUUCAGCAGCUUGUUUCAAAUCUUCAGGCCUCAUGUUCUGCAUACUCUCCGUUGCCAUCUUCAUCAAAUCCGGAUUCGACAUCAUCUGUAUUUUACAAUUGAUAAUAAACUACUCAUCAUACAACAAAAAAAAAAAACAGUAAAAAUCACAUACUAACAUCGUUAUAAAAAAAUUAAACUAUAUUUUUUUUUUCUAGUUCGGUCUUUGUUUUGUUUCUGAACACAUACAAAGUACACUUAUGCCUGUCCUAACAAAAAAAAGUACAAACUAACUUUAUGUCCUAAUAAUAUAUAUUGCACAGAUUAGGACAUUGCAUUCGACAAGUAAGCUUUGAAUUAAGCAUCACAAUCACAAUCACAUCACGAUCAAAGAAGACCUGUUGUUGGAUUCUGGCGAAAUCGGCUGGAGUCAUACGGCUCAUCUGAUCUUGAGCGAGACGAAUCAUCUCAGGAUCCAUCAUCCCGUUAAACAUCUUCCUUCUUCUUCUUCUUCGAUGGGGUUGUCUGGGAUCAGAUCGGUUAAACUUUGAAAUUGAGAGAGAAUUGGGUUCUAUUCUAUAAUAAGUUGUACAAUUGCAAAUCCACCACAACCACCUCUUCAAUUGACCGACCGGAAUAUGCCUGGAGCUGCUUAAUUACUUAUUUGCCCUUCCCCUUUAACGAGGUAAUGACGUGUCGUGGUAUUUUAAUUAAUCAGUUAGUUGGAAUAUUAAUUAGGGUCCAAUAAGUAUGGAAUCCAUGUGGCCAUCAUGUCCUUGUCCAUGUUGGAACAACGAAACGACGUGAAGCAAGAAACCCAAUCUCUCAUGUUUUUGUUUUCAUUAACAUAAAACUUGUAAACCUCAUUUUCCUUUCGUAGUUGCUUUUUGUCCAUGUUCGUAAUUGCACUGCAUCUAACGAGUUACCAAAAAAAUCAAUUCGAAAAAUAUAUAGAACCUAGUUUUAAAUAUAAUUUUUUUUUACAGCGAAAAAAGAAAAAAAUUAUAGAUAAUUUAAUAUAGCUAAUUUUAAUACAAGUUUUUAGACAUAAUUAUAUAACUUUUUAUAGAUAAUUUUAAACAGUCUCUUCUUGAUUUGUCGAACAUUUACAUUAUAGUUUGUUUGAUAUGAAAAAAUUUCCAAAUGUAUGUGUUUGUUUUGGGUUUGAAUAAUGGUUUUAGACUUCAUAGCUAAAUGUAAUUAUUUGGUAAUAGAUAAUUACACAAAAUUUGUCAAUAAUGAGUAGAAAAUAAUCAACCAUUUGUCAACUUUAGUAGAAAAAAAACUUUACGCAGUCAAUGCAGAAAUUACGCGGAUCACGGAUCAGUGCAGUCAACGCCUUCUUUUUUUGCUGCCGUCCACACAAAAAAAAACAUGUUUUUUUUUGUUGAUGUUUCCGUUGGGUUCUACUAUAAACCCAGCCCAAAUACACAAAUACAAACUAUAUUAACAUAAUUCAGCCCAAAAAAGCCUGGUGUUACAAGAGACUGUUUAGUUAAAGUCCAAGUAGGCCCAGUUCGUGGAAACCCGAGUGAUCGAGUCACAGUCAAGGAUAAAGAUGAUCGAGCUCGAAACGAUGGCAGUGCCAGAUCCAGCAAUCUUUGAAUAUCACUCCGGGUCAUCAUAGUCACAGUGAUGCUAAUAAGCCAUGCUUUACCAUUUAUACUACUAAUUUUUCAAUAUUUACAGUCAGUAAACAGUGAUGAUUUUAUAGCAAUAUAUAAGAGGGCGAAAAAAAAGAGUUGGGGGAUGGUGGAAGGAAACAGAAGGCUUUGAUUGUUGUCGGGACGUGGAGGAUCUCACGUGGCAUGCCACUUGUCAUCAGAACCUUUCUUUAUUACACCAUCACAACUUGUACGGUUGCCGUUCUGAUUAGGAUGCAUCACCAUCAGUUCUCAUCACUACCUUUCCAAUAAGGGAAAACGCACUCUUUCGUUUUUAUUGAGAUCAUAUCAAAUUUCAUUAUAUUGAGAUCAUGUAUAUUCAUUCUUUAGGUUUUUUAGCAACAUGUCGUUUUUGUAUAUAUACUUGAUUGACAUACAUGGAUCAUGGUAAAGGGUUGAGAUAGAAUAAUAGACCAAACGUUUCCAUAGGAUCAUCUCCUAAGUAAUAGGAUUACUGAUCAUUUCUAUGAACUGAUCUCAUGCUAAGAACUAACAACGCGUACAACCUUUACUAUUGGAAUAUGAAGAUUCCAGUCGUAAUCAAUCGCGUAUAGCUUUUGUUUAAUACGAUUUAUACCUGUGUACUAUCUCUCUGUUCGUUUAAGUUGUACGUAUGUUCUUUUAUGUCGAGAUUAAAUAAGAUGAUGGUUACAGUAAUUAACAACCAAAAGAGUCUUAUAAAACAAGAAUCAAAUAAUUGAACCUCAGCAGGNNNNNNNNNNNNNNNNNNNNNNNNNNNNNNNNNNNNNNNNNNNCAGCAGGAAAAUAUUUAUGAGUAAUUGGAGAAUUCGAUUCUAUUCAGGGUAGAUACAGAGCUGAGAUGAGUGUGUGUGUGGCCGUCUUGUGAAUAAAGUUCUUCAAUUAAGCAUACAAUCAAACAUAUAGAUUGGAAAUCAUGUUUAUCCAUUUGUCAAGGUAUGUCAACAUAUGUUUAAAUAAUAUGUAUUUUUAGGAUCAGAUUUUACGAGUUAAAUUUUUUUCUACAACAAAUAUCGAGAUAACAAAAAAAUAUAUUCUGAAGAAUAUGUUAUUUUUUUGGGUAAAAAAAUUCUUGCAAACAAAGUUUCACCAUAAAACUAAGAGCAUAAUUAAUGGGAAAUUCUUAUAAUGAAUUCUUAUAUUCCGCUAAAAACCACCCUAAAAACCCGUAUGACCUCAUCAAUGAAACCAAAGGAGCAUGUAAGUUGUUAUGUUCCAUAUAUAUGUGACGCUCUCAUAGACCCCAACAAAUACAAUGAACGGACAGUUCAUAGAUUUUGACGGAACUGUUGCGACAUUAAAACGAAUGGUCCUAUAUACAAUAUCAAUUUGACGUUCAUCAAAUGUCAUUCUCGAAUUAAAUUAUGAAUUCCUAAUAAGCUUGAUUCAGGGAAGAAGGAACGGUCGAUAUGAUAUCAUACUUUCAUAUUAAAUAGAUUAGUAGAAGGUGGUGUCUAACUUCUAAGGAUUUUGUUUUUGUACUUGCAUAGCAAGUUAAGUUGGCAAGUACAUACAAAUGCACGCUGAUUGUGUUUAGCAAAUUUGAAGUUUCUUUAGAUGUUUAAAUGCAAAUCCAGAUUGUGACAACCAAAAUAAUUAUAUUUGCUUGGGCAUUGGUGUGAACGGAAUCCAUUAGAAGAGGCUAUGAUUGGAUGAAUUGGUGGCCUCUCAACAAAAAUAAAACCAAAAUCAUUUGCAUCUUUAUCCACUUAUUCACAUCUCUCGUCUUUAUCUGCAUUUUAUCUUCUUCUUUUUUGUGUGUUCUUUUAGCGGGGUAUCCUUCGUCCUUUUAAAGUAUCCCACGGCAAGAUAUUUUGAAAACAUAGUGUAUUAGUAAUUGGGGACCAAAGAAAAAAACAGAAAAAACCCAUAAUAUAUUUCAGACUUUGUGUUAUGAAAAUCUUCAUACAUCUUUUCGAAACCGAUUAUAAAAUAUUUUAUAUACUAAAACACAAGUCACAAUAAGAUUUUACCACAUGUUAUUGUUUUACAAAUAAAAAAGUUAAUUAAUUAUCAACAUAAAGAUUAAAGGAAAAUUGCACCCUAUAUACAUGAAAAAUACUUAUAUAUACUAACUAACCAAAAUUUCCCCCUCUCUCCUACUUUCUCUUCCUAUCUCUCUCUACUCUCUCUUCCAAAAUUUAAUUUUCAUUUUUUUUUGAUUAUUUGGUAAAUAAGCCCAAAAUUAAAAACUAUCGCAAAUAAACCAACUGAAAAAAAGAAAUGUCUCCAAUCAAAAAAGAGCUCCACUAACCACGAUCUCUAAUUUUUUAAAACUGUAAAAUCUUAAAUUCCUAAAUUUUUUCUAAUGAACACCUUAUUUCAUGGCACAAUUUCAAACUGUUUCAUCUAUAACUUAUUUCUUCUCUGUCUUCUAUCCUUCUCUCUUAUUCUAUGUCGUUUGUUUCUUCGUAAUCUUUUGGGUUUUGAGUGUUGGAACAAUAACUAUAUAGCUUAUGACUUCAUUAUGUCCAAGUUCGGUGUUUCUUCUUAAAGCAAUACUCUCAUAUUCUUUUUGUUCAGCUUCAAGUUGUUUUAAUAGAUUAUUCAUAGGAAGACUAAGGGACAACGAGACUGGGCAUAUAGAUUUUAAAAAUCUGAAAUGGAAAUACAAAGUAAAUAUUUUAUCACUUUUCUUUUAGUUAACUAUGCAAAGUUUCAGCGUUAUUGAGUUUUCUGGGAUAAAUUGUUUCGUAUAUUAUGGAUAUAGUACAAAAGAAAUGGUGCUCAUCUUUCCUAUUAAGAACGUGAAGAUGGAGAGAAAAAACGUGAAGAUGGCAUAUCGGUGGUGCUGUGUAGACUGAGAUUAAGGUAAUAUUUUAUAGAGGUAUUUUAGCUUAUUUUGUAAAUUGUUAUAAUUUUCUAGAUAUAUUAUAUAUUCACAAUUUAUGACUUUAUGUAUAUAUAUAUAUAUGAACACUCUUCAAUAUCUCUUGACACGCGGUAAUAGGAGGCGAUAAUCUGUAUGGAGUUGGUAUAUUUUUAACUCAAAAAUGUAAUAGCAAUACAUGUUAAAUUUCUAUGAUAAUUUGAUAUAAAAAUAAGUAUUUUUCCCCGUACGCAGUAUAGUUAUAAACCACAUUGAGAAAAGGUGAAACACCAACCAUAAAACCUUCUUUGGUGUACUCCAAAAUGAUUAAAUUUCUUGCUGAAGUAUAUUAGUAAGACGAACUAUAUAUAUUUCAUUACAACUUGGAAACAACAAUGGAGAACCAGUCGCACCCUAAAACAACACGCACCGACUUUUACUACGGACUACGAGAUUGAUCGAGGUCCAAUGGCAAGGCCAUACACCCGUUUGGCUUCUCAUAGCUCACUAAGAUUUUUCUUUAAAAUGCUCAUGGAAUUGUCAUUUUUCUAAAGUAACCUAUUUACCAACUUACGAUUUUGGACUUCUAUUAGUUCGUUUACUAUAAAUAGCAUAAAGUUUUGCACAUAUAUACGGUCACAUACGAAUAAAGAUAAAAGUAACAGUCAUGUACAUGAACUACUCCCAAUUAAAAAUGAUAUAAACAAGGGAAAUUUUCCUGGAUAGCUUUUUUUAGUUUUUGUUAUAAAAAGAGUAUACACGGAAAAAAAUGACCAAAACAGUUUUAUUAAAAAGAUAAAUAAAAUUUCUACUUCUUGCUUUAUAGAUAUAUAAAUAAUAAUAAAAGUUAUAAUUUUGAAUUAUAUGUUUUUAAAUUCAAACUUUUUAUAUUUUUUUGAAAUUUAAUGCUUUUUGAAACUGUUUUAAAAAAAAAAUAUUUUAAAAUUUUAAUAUUUAUUUUCUAUUUGUAAAAUUUCCAAAGUCUAGGAUUAGAAGUUCUUUAAUAAACUCUAUACGAGAAAUUCCCUAGAAUAGCCAUAUUUAAGUUUUUGUCACAAAAAUAGCUUUUAAUGAAGAAAAUGAUCAAAAUAAGUUUUAUUAAAAGAUAAAAAUGUAUUUUUACCUUAAGGUUAACUAAUCUAGACGUAGGAUUUAAAGUUAAAGGGUGGAGCUUUGGUGAUAGGGUUUCAACUUUUAAAAAAUAUAAAAUAAAUAUUAAAAUUUCAAAAUAAAAAAAGGUUAUUUUGGUCAUUUUCUUUCUUGAAUGCUAUUUUUUGUGACAAAAACUUAAAAAAUGUCUAUUUGAGAGAAUUGCCCAAUCUAUAUUAGUUAUUUUCUUUAUUAGAGGUUUUUUUGUGAAAAUAAACUAAAAAAAAAUCAUAUGGAAUUUCUCUGUAAACAAAGUAUGUAAUUCUCUUAUGGACGUAAAAUAACAUUUCUAUAAAUGUAAAAAAAAAUAUAUUUACUUACAGUGAUCUAUAAACAAAAAGUUAAUAAAUACGAAUGACGUUGGGUGGUCCAAAGUUGGCAACUAAAUGAUAAACGUUGAAGCGCAUAUGCAUGCAUAUAGUUCAGAGAACCACCACAAUUAUAUAAGGAUAAAUUCUUAUUAGCUAGAAGAUCAAUUUUUUUAGGGGGGCGGGGUAGAUUAUAUUGAUAAUGUGGCCUUUGGUUGGUGGGGAGGACUACAAGAGACUAAGAGAGUAUUACCGAAGAUGAUGAUUACGAACGAACUAUGGAUGAAGAAAACUCAAGAUCUCACCUCUACUUUCGGUUGCUAUUGAGUUGAUCUCAAAGUAACUCAAUCUGUUACGAGUGUCAGAUGACAAUAUUCUUCUUCCAUGAUUGACUCGAGAUAUUUUGUACAUAAUAUAUGUUAAAUUUCAUAUAUAUCUAAUAAAAUGUAUCACCAAUAUAAUUGUUAGAAAAAAAGUAUCACAAUAUAAUAUUAUUACCAUAUGUGGAAAAUAAACAAGUUUCACUUUUCACCAAAACUCAAAAGUCACCACAUCUGAUUAUCAAGGAAAUCCAGCUACACAUUCGAGCAACGCUUCUCGGUUUGGACAGGGAAGGACUAGUCAAGCAUCCUACUGCAGCACCAAAUCUCACGAGACCACCAAAAAAUACUUACCUUUCACUAUGGUUUGAGCAUUUCCAGAGAUAAAUGUCAUUUCCUAAUCCUAUAUUUUCCCGCUUAACAUGGGCUUUAUUUUCUUGUAUCAUUUUAUCUUUCACUUCUUUCUUCUUUCAUUCUCCCAGCUGAGCUGUUUUGUAAACGUACUUUGAGAAGGAAGAAAUUUUUAAAAAAUGAAAGAAAACUUAUCAAUAAAAAAAAACUCAAAAGUCAUGUACUGGGGCAAGACGAUGUAGUUGAAUGUGAAGAAGAUAUUGUAGUUGCAGAUUGUAGAUAUCCACGUGCUAUAUAAUUCAUGCACGUUGAACUCUUAAUAUUCUUACGCCGGUAUAUGUUUUUAAAUGUAUAAAAUACUAGAAGUGAAAUAUUAUAAAUGAUGGUUAGAUCCAUUUGUUUUCUUCGGAAAGCAAUAUAUUUCUUAAGGUCAAAUUUAGUUCAAUAGCUAUAUAUAUUUCCAAUUACAAGUUUCUUUUAAUCUUUCAGAUUACAACUUAAAAUUCGCUUUUUACUAAAAACUACAGUUCUACGAUCUAAUUAACUAGUUACCGCAAGAUCAAUGGUCUAUAAUUGUAGGGGCAAUAUUAAAUUAAUUAAAUGAAUAGAUGAGACUCGGGAGAGGAAGAGGUCAAGAGCACUUGCAAUAGGGAUUUUAUCCAUCGGAAUUUUUAAAGUGUACAUUUUUAUAUGUAUAUAUUAUAUACACGUAUGUAAUUAUGAAGUUCACUAUUUUUGUAAAGAACCCAAUCUAAAGUAGUGGACUCUAUAGUUACAUAUAUAUAUAUAUAUAUAUACAAAUAUGCACUUUUAAAACUCUAAUAGAUAGAAUUUCUAACGGAAGUGUUCUUAUAUUCAACGGAAACUAAGGAAUGGUAGACUUUCUCUCUCUUUUUUCUCUGAGAUUUUGAGAGUUUGAAAAUCAUGGUGAUUCCUCUCUGAACAGAGAUUACCGGUUCCGAUACACGGUGGUCCCCUCGACAGAGAGUAGCCGGCUUUGUUUCUGGUGGUUCGCGCUCCCUUUGGCGGAACUAUCCGGCGGUUUGUGGCGAUGAAGCUCUGAUGGUGUCGUUGCAUUAUGUCUCGAGCCGUUUCAUUCGCCUGCGGUGGAGAUCGGAUGUUUGGGUUGUUGAAGUUGGGUCCCUCGGGAGUAAUCGAGGUAUGUGUUGGGUUUGUGGUGUUUGUGGACCUCAGAAUGGAUGAGAUCUCGAUCUUGUUUUGAUUGAUCUUUCUAGCGUACGAUUGAAGAAGUUGUUCCCAAUAACCUUCCAAUACAGUCGUUGGAGGUGGUUGCGGUGAUUCUAGUUAAGGUCUGGGGUGAAUUUGGUGUCGUCGUUCUGAUCCCGGCGUGUUCUGGCGAAGCUCGUGGUUGUUUUCCGUUUUCGUCGACGUUAGCCUCGCGUUUGGGUCGCGUUCGGUGGCGGUGUCUGGUUGUGUGACGCGUGUCUUGCCUUGGUGUUUUGGGCUGAUAUUUGUUUUAAACUGUCGUUAAAUGCAACACGGGUUUUUAUUGACGUGUUUUCGUGUCGGUUUGUCUGACUUUGUUGUUUGGACCUGAGGCCGUUUGUAUUUUUGUCUUCCGUUUGGUCCGAUGGUUUAGACUUUUAAGGGUUGGGCCUUGCUAUAUGAUUUUUUUUGGUGUUUGGGCUUGGUCCGUUUAAUAAAAUAAAAUAUGGAUGGAAAAAAAAGUGCUCUUAUAUUCAACACCCACAUCGAAAGCAGUAAUUAUUGACUCUUAAGUUUACGUGUUUACCAAACUACUAUACACUCUUUUUCUCUUUGGUCUACCGUUGAUUCUUUCUUUGUUCCAAUAUUACCAAUAGUCCAAUACCGUUGACUCUUUCUUUGUCUCAUACAUACCUGAUCUGCUUACCGGGGAAAUGAUCUAAAAUUUUAGUAUUUUAAGUAUUUAGAUUUUGAGUAUUGUCUCAUACAUACCUGAUCUGCUUACCGGGAGAAAUUAUCUAAAAUUUUAGUAUUUUAAGUAUUUAGUUUUUAAGUAACCGAAUUAAAUUCGAAUCCCCUAUAUAUUAAUUGAGAAACAUUUGAAAAGUUGUAACCUCAAUUUUGUAUUAAUUAAAAGAAGCCUCAAUGCAUAGGUGGCACUCAAUUAGGUAGUCAAUUACAUUCAAUUGAAAAAUAAGUAGGUCCACAUUCGAUUUUUAUAUGUUGUUAGAUACAUAAGUUGGUCAAACUAUAUGAUAUAAUGAUAUGAUAUGUUUUGUUAUCGAUGAUUUAAAUAUUUUGUUAUAAAACGAUAUGAAUGAUCAUAGAACCGUAUGAUUAUAAAUUCUUAUAUAAUAAAUAACUAUACAAAAUAUACUAUUCUUAGAAAAAUAGGUUGUUUCAUUUUAACUUAUAUUACACUUUUUAUUAAACUAACUAUCGAAUUGAUAAAUAACGUACCAAAAAAUGUUUUGCUCUUUCCUUAAAUAAAAGCUACGAAAUUACCUAAUAUGAUUAACGUAUAUGUGAAAAUUAAUUAUUAUAAAUAAUAAAUAUUUGAUAACAAUUUUUGUGUCUUAGUUCUUUUUUUUUAAUUUUAUAUUAUUAAAAGAUAUUUAAAAAUCACAUUAAAUAUAUAAUAAAAACAUUUAUAUUUUUUCUUAUAUAUUAUAUUUUGAAUUUUUCAAAACGUCUAUAAAUUAUUAGAAAUUUGAAGAUUCCCACUCUGAAAAUUUUGUGAUCAAUAGAUUAUUAGAAAUGUUUAUUCCGCGCAAUGUUAUUAUCUAAGAUAUUACAUCAACUAAGUGGUUAACACUUGCCACACCUCUGUCACUCGGUCCUUUUAGCAAUAUAAAUAUUUAUAGCAAUAUUGUAGAAGAAGAUCCACACUUAUUUCUUCGGCCGCAAUUCUUUUCAUUUUACUUCAUCGGUGGCCCAUAUGUAUAUAUACAUAUACUUACUUUUCAACCAUAUGUAUUAAUGCUGAAAUGCAAAGAUGAAUUAAUUCACUACACGGUUAUGAUUUACUCAGUGUACACAUAAACUUUGUAACGAGCUAGUAAACCUAGUUUAGAGUAAGACAGACUCUUCUAGAAUUGAGAAAUAAAAAACGAAUUUUAAUACUCAUCAACAAGAGAUUGGCAUUUUUUAACCAAUAUGUAUAUUAGUAUAUAUAGCUGAAUACUAGAUUUUUACCACUUGAAUAGUUAAGUGUGUGAAACUAGAAUUGGAAAUUGGCCGUAUUUUAUCAAAGUGUUGAGUUUCUUGACAAUGAAAGGGAAGAGAGAAGAGGGAUAUAUAAUUGAAUUUGAAAGAAGCCUCGAAUUUGGACUGUCUGCGUAUGCAUCCCCACUGUUGCAUGCAGACACAUUUUCACCAUACCUCCGCUUCUCUCAGUCUGAUGAUGUCAUAAUCUCAGACUUUUGUGAAAUAAUACCUAUUACUACAACUCGAAUUCUACAUGCAAUAAUAAAAGGGUUCAGACAAUUGGCUACCUUUAUCUUUUAUUACUGUCCUCGAGCUAGUUUGAAAGUAUUUGAGUAACUGAAAAAGUUACCUGAUUACUUCUUGUCACUAAAUAGACUAUGUCAAAAGAGAGCGGUAGAUCAUUCGCAGCAUAUGAGUAGAUUAAAGAGCAGCAGUAUUUAAACGAGCAUUUGUUUAUCUUCAUGUAGAUGGGGCCCCACUGUACUUCAGACAAAGGCUUUUAACAGAGGACUAGUGUCAUAUGGAUUCUCUUCCGUUUAGUUCCCAAAAUACCCUCCUUCUUUCUUUUAAGAGAUUCUCAAACCUCCAAAUUGCUACAUAACCCUAAUUUCCUUGUCCAUUUAGAAUCAGCAAAAACAAAAUCUUUUGUCACUAUAAAACCCUUUUUGUUUUGUUCGAAGUCAUCUUCUUAAUAUUAUUAAAAUUAUAUAUCAAAAAUGAUAUUCAACAAUUUUAGAAUUGUUUCCCUAAACUAAAACAUGCACUUGAAAAAAAGUUUCCCUUGUUUGGGCCAAGAUUUCUCUCUCGCUAAGAUAUCUCAUUUAGUGGGUGGAGCACAGCUGUCAUAAAAAAGUGCCACGUCCGCCUCAAAACUUAUCCUUUCUGAUCGUUUUGCGCUGGAAUCUUCAAGAGUUUCUAGGGUUUGUUCAUAAUAUCGACGGUGAAGAUAAAAAUUUCCAGGCAAUUAUAAUCAUCAGUCAAGAUGUCGCACGCGAUGGAUAAAGCUAUGAUGGAGUUAUCGUUGGAUGAGGAAGAUGAACCUUUUGAUAUGCCGAAUCUUCCCCAAUACAGAUCGUGUGAAAGAAAUUCCAGAAGUCUGGUUGGUAGGAUUUUGAAUCCAGACUGUCAGAAGAUGCCGGGUCUGAUUAGAAAUAUGCCAAGGAGCUGGCAGAAGCAAGGAAGGGUUAGGGGAAUCGCCUUGUCUAAAGAACGCUUUCAAUUCAUUUUUGAUCAUGAGCAUGAUCUGUUGGAGGUUUUAGAAAAAGGGGUUCAUACCUUCAAUGAGUGGGCGCUUGCAAUUGAUCGAUGGGUUGAGUAUCCCCCAGCAGAUUAUCUUCAGUUUAUUCCUAUCUGGAUACAGAUUAGGAAUUUGCCGAUCAAUUACUAUACGAGGGAAGCUAUUACAGCGCUGGGUGAAAGGAUCUUUGGUGAUGUGAAAAAUGUAGCCUUUGAUCCAAACAAGCCUCAGAUUCAAGACUACGUUCGCAUUCUGGUUCGGUUUGAUGUGUCUAGACCUCUGUGGAAGUCGAAAGUUGUGAACUUACCGGAGGGGGGUUCCACGGUUGUCCAUUUCAACUAUGAGAGAGUUAAGAAGAGGUGCUAUGAAUGUCAACGAUUGAAUCAUGAGAAGGAUGUCUGUCCGUUGAUAGUUAGGAAACGAAGAGAUGAUGCAACGCAGAGAAGAGAGCGAGUCAUGAUGGAUGUCAAUCAAAACAAGCCUAUCCUUACACCUGGUGACCCGCUUUUUGGAGUUCUUUCUGAAGAGCAAGUGGGUUUUUGUAAGACAACGGGAAGAAGGAAAAUUUCACCAGAGGUGCUGGAUGAGAUGAGAAGGUACUUGCUGUUGGCAACAGAGGAAGAUAAAGUUAUCCGCUUUGAUCGUGUUAAAUCUUCUGUUGCUGAAGCUGAGAAAGAUCCUCUCCUUCAGAAGACGAUGUUGCGUCUAGAGGCUCCUACUAUUUUCACUGAUCAGGUGGAUAAAGGAAAAGGCAUUGUAUUUGAUUUUGACCUUAACACUGUAGCAGAGUUGAAACAGCAAGGUCAAGGAGGGGAGUUGAAACUGAUGGCUUCUGCGUUUAAGGCUGGUAAUGCGGGGAAGGGACUGCAGGUGGCAUCUUUUAAGCAGUCUAAGAAGCGGGAUGACCUUAUGAGAGAUGUUUGUUCUCCAUCAACUGAUUACCUUCAGGCUUCUUCCUCUAAGGACUUCAUUGGUUUAAAGGAUUCUUCUUUUUCUUUGGAUGUUAACUCAACGGAAUAUGGUCCUGGAUACCCUGUAUCUAAACCAUCCGGGGUUGCACAGAGAAAUUCUAAUCAAAGAAGAAGAAGACCUUAUAUUAAGAAAAGGAAGGAGCAGAAGGGUGGAUCAACGGGUAUCCUCCAUGAGUUAUAUGGAGAUAAGGAAGGAGAUGAAAGAACAGGGUCUAAGAGAUCAGCUUCUGGAGCAUGCUUCGAAGAUCACAGAGUUGUGUGGUGCAAAGAACCAAGGGUGAUCCCGAAUGAGGGAUCGCCGAAGUCUCAAUGAGCAUAAUUAGUUGGAAUUGUCAGGGCCUGGGGCGGCCUCAGGGCCUGACAAUUUCACGCCUGCGGGAGAUGCGUGAAAAACAUUUUCCGGAGGUACUUGUGCUCAUGGAAACGAUGAAUUGUAGAAAUGUUUUGGUAGAUUUGCAAGUCUGGCUGGGGUAUGAUAGAGUAUAUACUGUAGACCCUGUAGGCCAUGGCAACUCGAGGGAUAGGAUUUCUCAGAUUGAGAUUGCUCUGGAAUAUGAACAAUCAGCCAUGCUGCAAUGAACAGAACGUAUUUGCUUUUUUAAGCAAGAAUUGGUUAAGGCUCAGAGAGAUGAAGAGUUGUAUUGGUGGCAGAAGAGUAAAGAUAAAUGGUUGGCUAGAGGAGAUAAAAACUCAAGAUUUUUCCAUAUCUCUGUCAGAGCUUCUCGAGCAAGAAAUUCAAUUGAUAAGCUCCUAAACCCUCAGGGAGUUGAAGUUUACUCGGAAGCAGAUAAAGGAAAAGUUGCUGUGGAUUUUUAUACUAAUCUCUUUCGAUCAUCCAAUCCAGCUCCGUUUUCAGAGUGGUUCCAGGAUUUACAACCGCGAGUCUCUACUCUUAUGAAUAGAGAGCUGACCAGACCAGUUUCAGCUUUGGAGAUCCGGGAUGCGGUUUUCUCUAUAAAUCCAUCAAAGGCUCCUGGUCCUGAUGGCAUGUCUGCUCUCUUCUUUCAGAGUUUUUGGACGACGGUGGAAGCGCAGGUGGUUCGGGAAGUUCAGAGGUUCUUUCACUUUGGAGUUCUUCCGAAAGAGUGGAACUAUACACAUUUAUGCUUGAUUCCCAAGACUCCAGAACCAAAGACGGUUUCUGAUCUUCGUCCGAUUAGCCUCUGCUCAGUGAUAUAUAAAGUGAUUUCGAAAAUCAUGGUUACAAGACUUCGACCAUGGAUGCCUGGGCUUAUCUCACCUACCCAAUCUGCUUUCGUUGCAGAAAGGUUGAUGUCGGAUAAUAUUACUAUUGCUCACGAGAUGGUCCAUUCUCUGGGUGUGGUAGAUACUCCGGCUUCAGAACAAAUGGUGGUAAAGACUGACAUGACGAAGGCAUAUGAUCGAGUGGAAUGGGGUUACUUGCGGUCAGUUCUGCUGGCACUUGGAUUUGAUUUGAGAUGGGUGCAAUGGGUGAUGAAGUGUGUUACCACUGUCACUUAUUCUGUCUUAAUUAAUGAUCAGCCGCACGGAAUGAUAGAGCCUCAAAGGGGACUUCGUCAAGGAGAUCCCCUGUCUCCUUUCCUUUUUGUCUUAUGCACAGAAGGUUUACCUCACUUACUUUCUAUUGCUGAGAGAAGGCAAAGCUUUUCUGGGAUGAAAUUUGGAGUGCAGGGCCCUUCAAUUCAUCAUCUCUUGUUCGCAGAUGACUGUCUUUUCUCCUGUAAAGCGAAUGAGGAGCAGAGCAAUGUGCUGAUGAAUAUUUUGGGAAGGUAUGGAGCGGCCACUGGUCAGGUUAUCAAUCCUCAGAAAUCUUCGAUUAUGUUUGGUAAAUCAGUGCGGGAAGAGAAUAAGAUCAGAGUCAAACAUAUUCUAGGGAUUGAGGCAGAAGGUGGGGAGGCUAAGUACCUGGGAUUGCCAGAAUGCUUUAAUGGAUCUAAGGUCAAGCUCUUCUCCUAUCUAAAAGAGAAAAUGGGAAGAAGGAUUUCGGGUUGGCAUGCGAGAACUUUAUCUCAAGCUGGAAAAGAAGUGAUGAUAAAAGCUGUCGCUUCAGCGCUUCCGGUAUCUGCAAUGUCGGUAUUUAAGAUCCCGAAAACGGUGAUUACGUCUCUCUCAAGUGCCUUGGCCAAUUUCUGGUGGAGUGCAGUGGAGCAUAAAAGGAAAAUCCAUUGGAUAAGCUGGGAGAAGAUGUGUCUACCGAAGGACUUAGGAGGGAUGGGAUUCAAGGAUUUAGAGAGUUUUAAUAAGGCUCUCCUAGCCAAACAAGCUUGGAGACUUAUUAAUCUUGAAAGUUGCUUGAUGUCGCAGGUUCUUAAAGGGAAAUAUUUUGAAGGGACAUGCUUUUUUAAAGCUCAGCUGGGCAAACGAGAACUCAGAAGUAUUCUAAGGGAUUUUUUGGAGUGGAAGAUGUUAGCUGAAUCGUAUGAGGCGAAUAGAGGAGCGCAUCUGAUUGCCACUAGUGCUGUGCUAGAUCGUCGGUUCCAAUCUUAUGUCGCUAGAGGCCAGCCUAUUUGGUGUUCUGAGGUUUUUCAUAAUGACAAUAGAGAUAGGCUUAAUGUUCUUUAGCCUAGAUGUUUUGGCUGUUUUUGUAAACUCUGGUCAUAUUUUUUGGAUGUAUAUAUAUAAAUAUCUAAGAUGGCAAAAAAAAAAAAAAACAUGCACUUGAAAGUUGCUUACACAACAAAAAGAACCCCCAAUUUUUCAAUCAGUUUUGUUGAGUUGGUGGACACAUUGGUCAAUUACUGCCAAGUGCCAACCAUCCAAACAAAACCAUUUACGGCAAAGUUUAAUGAAAUUUUAUUUUUGCCAAAAUAGGAAGGAAAAACACACAUGCAAAAACUAAAAGAAUAAAAGAAAUAACAAAAAAAAAAGAUAAAGAGUUGUCUACAAUAUUGUGCUAGAGCAGAGUAUUUAUAUCACCACCCACGAGCCUUUGCUUUUCCUUCACCACCUCUCCUAUAUCUGUUUUCUUCCCGGAGUCAUUUGUCUGAUCUCAUCAUCAACAACCACAACUACUCAAACAAACCUUUUAGAAAGAAAGAGAAAAAUAUAAUCCAAGAGAAGAAGCAUGACCUAAUAAUAUUAGUAGUAUCUCCUCACUGAAAAAAAUCAUAACUAUUUUGGAUGGUCAGAUCACACAAGCAAGAAGCACGCGUCUCUGCUACUUACAUCCAAUCAGUGAAGCCACAACGUCCUCCUUCCACCACCAUGACCACAACCACAGAUGGCACCAAGGGCGGCAAAACGCAGACGCAUAAGAAACAAGUGAGAAGACGACUCCACACAAGCCGUCCUUACCAAGAACGUCUCCUUAAUAUGGCCGAAGCUCGCCGUGAAAUCGUCACCGCCUUAAAACACCAUCGCGCUUCCAUGAGACACGCCGCCAAGAUUCCACCGCCUCCACCGUCUCAUCCGCGGCAGAAACUGUUUUCGCCACCGCCGCCACCACCUCCUCCAGAUCCAUUUUCUUGGUUGAAUCCACAACUCAAUUUCCUCCUCCCUAACCAACCUCUAGGGUUAAACCUAAAUUUCCACGACUUUAAUGACUUCAUCCAAACCACGUCAUCGUCUUCAUCAUCAUCGUCGUCUUCUUCAAGCUCAUCAUCAUCCUCCUCAGCAAUAACGAAUCCGCAUAUCUACUCCACCCCUUCACCUCCCCUUUCCACCUUCUCCGCCACAGCUCCUCAACAACCGCCGAAGCAGCUGAUGGAAACGGAAAACAACGUGGAGACGUCAGCUUGGUGGUCAGAGCUCAUGAUGAAGACGGUGGAGACGGAGAUGAUGAAGUCGCAGACAGUCGAAGAUGACGUCUUCCCAAAGCUCAAUGACGUCAUGGAGUUUCCUUCUUGGUUGAAUCCAACGGAUGAAGAAUUGUUUCAUCCUUAUAAUCUCUCUACUCAUUACUCCUCCCCUCACAAUCCUCCAUUGUCCUGGUAAAUUAUUUUCUUUUUUAUUUUUUUUUAAACUUAAAACAUUUUGAUCGGUCAGGUUCCACCGGAAUCACCGGCGGACAAAAAGUAGCGGUGGUUCUGUAUAAACUUCAGUGUUGAGUUGCGGCAGAACACAGAAAGCAGAAAAAAAAUAUUUCUAUAAAAUCUUUUUGUGAUAAUUAAAUGUGACUAAUUGAUUAGAAAAAUAUGAAGAAUAGGAGUGAAACUUGUGGAAUGAAAAGGAUCCACAUCAGUUUAUUGCAUGAUCUCAAGCUGUCCCUUUUGUUUCUUUUUGGUCCAAUGAUUAUAUGAGUGUCCGAAGAUUAUAUAUUGUUGUGUUAUAUCAUUGCAUGCAAUUAUUAUAUAGGUUGCUUGUUAGGUAAUUUAUUUCCUUCAGUGUUCUUCAUAUAUUUAAUUUAAGAAUUUUGUGGUAACCGGUUAUCUAUCUAUCUAACCUAAGAUUUGAAUGUAUUGUAUUUAUUUUACAGUAUGGAGAUUAAAGAAAUUGAAGGCAUGGAUGGAGACGAUUGGCUUGCCUGGCUGAGCCACAAAGAUUGAUUACUGUGUUUUUUUUCAGACAUGUUGAAUCAACUCUUUGGUUCUUUUCUUAUUUAUUUGUUUUCUUUCUAAUUUUUUUUUUUGGUUUGGAGACAUAAGAAUUUAAGAAUAACAACAUGCCUGCGGAGAGAAAUGUUCGGUUUGGCAAAAGUCACAAAUGAAUGAAAUUAAACUUCUCUUACUGAAAAAUGUUUUAUAGAUUAGCUAAUUCUCUUCAUAUGCAUCAUUCACUUCACCAAUGUCCAUCUCAUCAUCAUCAUCCGACAUCAUAUCAUCAUCGUCUCCUCCUGAACUACUACUAUAGAGCAAUUCUUUCUCUUCCAUUUCCAAAGUAUCACUAUAAGUUUGAAUAUCUCUCUUCCUCCCUCUGUAACCUGUAAACCUCAGCAACUUCUCUUUCCAAAGUAUCAAAGGGCACUUCUCAAUCAGCUCGGGGCCUUCGUAAGCUUCUGUCAAGAACACACUGAACCUCUUCCCUCUCUCAGAGACAUAGAAGAUACCACAAUGCUUCAAGAAUAUCCUCAUCAGCUUCUGCGGCAUCACAAACUCUCUCCUGAAAUGCGUCAGAUGAUCCGUCACCAAUCUCUUCUCCAGCGUAAAACUAAGCAGCUCGUGCAUAACUGCGAUUGCCCGUUUAUCGAAUUCCUUUGAACCAGCUUCGAGUCCACGUGCAUCGGCAUAAGGAGACAAGUAAGUUCGCUUCUGAAAAUGUUCAAUCUUCCCUCUGUACCGGUACAUUUUCUUGUAUGAUGGAGGAAACUUCAUAGGGAAAGGCAGUGAAAGCAAACCUGGCUUGUGAUCGCUUUCCUCAGUUAAGCCUAGAGUCUUCUUCUCCAACUCUGUUAUAGCCCAAGCUGGAUUCCAUGAAACAAGCUCUAGAUAUUCCUCUCCAUCCUCAACCUUCACAACUUUAAAAAGCUCAGGAAACUUGUUUACCCAGUUCACCCUGAAGUCAAGAGGCAACCCAAAAUCUCUCCGGAAAUGAGCAAUCUUAUCCAACCGAAGCUUCUUAUCAACAGACAUCAUCAAACACCUAGUCACAUGCUCCGCAGCCUUGUCACCAUUCUCCUCAACCAACCCAUCAUGCUCCUCCAACAACUCUUCCCCUUCCUUCGUCAUCCCACACCACAACACUCCCCUCUCAUCCUUGUACAGUUCAAACAACUUUGGAGACUUUCUGAUGAAAUCGCUGAUCUUAUGCGGCUUAGGCAAAUUGAUCUGACGCCUGUACUGCUCCAACAACCUGACCUUCAUGAUCAUCUCUGGCUCACUCUUCAACAGCUCCAUCAAGAACAUCACUUUGUUAGCUAUCUUCCAUUUCUCAGUCGCUACUUCGAGCUCGCGGACUCGCUUCUCCCUGCUCCUAUCUUGAACACGCUUGCUGCUCGUCAUUAACCUCACCCAUACCCGCCCGAAAGGGCACUCUCCAGAUAAAAAGCUUCUCUCAGGCAUUAUCGCAAACACCUUGUGGGCAUUCCCGUAGAAUCGCAGCGUCCUACGUGGCAAGCUUCCCAUCAAAACCUCAGCUUUGAACACCUGAACAGCUAUUGAAGAAGUUUGGAUUGCAACGAAAGCUCAGUUUUUUUUCUAUAAAUGGAUCGAUGAUUACGAUUACUUUCAGAUUCCAUGUGAUAGAGAAAAUGUGUAAACUGAGAUAUAAACAAUACCUUAUACUGUACGGCGGCGAAAUAAUAGAGUUUGAAGGUGAGGCGGCGAGGAGAAAGUCAUGCGACGGAGGUCCGGCGGUGUGUGUCGUCUUCUUGUUGUUUCGUAAAUGGGCUUUAUUAAGCCCAUUUAGUUCUCUUGUGAGUUUUCUUUUCUGUCUCUACAAAGUUUAAGAUUACCAGCUUGAGUUCGACACGUGGCUCGUGAGCUGUUUGUCUUAAUGUUUUAAAUCAUUGUUUUUAAUACGCUUUAAUCAUGUUUGUAGAGACUCGUGGUUUCGAAUUGUUUGUCUUCAUGUCUUUUAAUUUGAGCAAUGUCAUGUCCGAGAGAUAUUUUUGUAAGAACCAACAAAACGGCCAUCAUUCUGUAUCCACCCGUUUGGUGUUGCUCGUCAAUGUCAUUCACCGUUGGUUGACAGAGCAUAAUUACGCGAUCGGCUCGGACCAGGGCCGAACCACGGGUAAUACGUGGACUCGCAAUCAAGGAUAUGAUGAAAACACCUUCUGCGAGUUCCUUUGAGCAAUGUCAUGUCCGAGAGAUAUUUUUGUAAGAACCAACAAAACGGCCAUCAUUCUGUAUCCACCCGUUUGGUGUUGCUCGUCAAUGUCAUUCACCGUUGGUUGACACGAUCAACCGUGAAAACGAAUUAUUCUUUGUAUUUUUUUCACUUCGAUAAUUACUUUAUUGGUCUUUUCUAGUUUAUCAUCAAAAACGAUAUUUCAGAAAAGACAAUCUUAAUAUUUCGAGAAUGAAGUUUACAGUUUCAAAAUGUCUCAUCUAAAAUAAAAAUAAAAUAAUAUGCAAAAACGAGUGUUUAUUAUUGACUUUAGAAACCCUACAGUACAUUAAGUUGUUUUUUUAUUGUAAGAAAUUAUAGAUAAGCUUGUAAUUUCUUUGGACUAGGGAAGAAGAUUUAACAAUCGGACCUGAAUUUGUUUUGAUAACGAGUAUACUAUAAUUUGAAUCCUGUGUUGGCCCUUUUAUCUCAAUUAAUCUUGUUCUGUGUAUAUAUUUUAACAUAUGCUAAUACUUUGAAGAAAAAAAAUGCAAAAGAGAAGAAAAAAGAUAAAUUGCUUGAAAUACCUUAUGUUGGUUAUCACUUUUCAAAAAUAUUAUCAAUCAAAAAUGCUUUAACAUUUGGAUUUAAGACUAGAUAUGGCCAGUCCUAAGAUUUUAGGGAACAGUAAGAGAUUUAGUAAAGAUUUCAAUAAUUGUUUUUACAAAUUUGAAAACAUAUGUCUAUAUAAUUUUCUUAAAAAAUUAGGAAGCUUGAGCCGAAUGUUUCAUUUGGUUUUAUCCAGGACCGACUCUGAUUUAGAGUUUAGUGAUUAUGUUUAAACUUUAGUAUUUAUCGGGUGAAUUUAAGUUUAUAAUCUUCUGUAGUAUUUUAUAAAUUAUUAUUAAGCAAUUAUAAAUAAUUUAAGAAAGAUAGUUUAAUUUUUUUUUAUCACAACUUAAGGUAUUCAUAAAAAUGAUUAUCAUUUAAAAGUAAAUUUGAAAAAAAUGAUAUAAAAUUUGUGGUAAAAUUAAAAUUCUUUUAAAAGAGAGAAACACUGCCGAUUUUUUUAAAGUAAAUCUAUUAAUUUACAGUCUAUAUAUUGAAAGUAUUGCCACGAUUUUACCCAAAAAAAAAUAUUCCCACGAGAAUAGCUAUUUCAAAAAUCGAAAUAUUGUCCCAAGUAUAUUUAAUAGAUAAAAUACAAACUAGCUAAUAAUUAAAGCAAUAGGGACUAAAACAAUUGAUUACUUUUGUAAAGAAAGGAAAUCAAGAACCCCUAUUUUGGUUCCUUCUAUCAAACGAACAAACAUAGCCAACUAGCAUAAACUAAGUAUUUGUAUUUUUCAUAUAUAGACAGCGCAGAAAAGGGGAAGAACUCAAAUUCCUUCACAAGUGUAGCUUUCAGGAAACGUGACAAAAUAAUAUGAUAGGAUGUUGACCAAACACAUGUCUAUCUAUUAUACAUGGUGAAUUACAGUACUUUAUAUAUGGCAAAAAUGAUUCUAAAUGUACCAAUAUCCAUUUAAAAUUUUCAUGUCUUUCACUUCUUUUUUGCUUUGCGGUACGCAAGGGAAAUUUAAAAGAGGGUUACAGAUUAUACUAGCUAGCACGGUACCACAGUGGUUUAGGAUCUCUACACUGUUAUAAAUUAUUCAUCUUAGUCAAAUCCUACUAACACAGAAGCUAUGUCCGUUUUAAAAAUCGCCAAUGCUCGUAAAAUUCAUUUCAAAAAGUAGUUGAUAUAUAAUUAGUAAAUUAGUACAUGUCUAGUGUAUAUUAUAUUUGGGUGUUUUAACCACACUUGUUGAUAUAAAUUUUAAACCCACCAAAACCAGAAAUCUAAGCAAAUACGGUGGUUGCCUCCCUGGAGAUCAUAUGCUUCAGAUAUCUCAGCAUGGUAUUGUAGUUUUAACACAAAAAUGUAUAUAAAGGGAUAUCCAGAGACAAAACCAGAAAACAGUUCAAAACUAAAGUGAAGAAAGAAAGUAAAUUAAGUAGAAAACAAAAAUAUACAUUUGUAACAUAGAUUACUUAGGAGUUAAAAAAAAAUUACUUACAGUCAACAACUUCCUUGUAUAAGUUUUCAUGACAAUGAGUUCGAAUAAUAUAGCAGCAAAAGAGCUAAUUAAGGUAUUGAAGACUUUUUGUUUUUUAGUUUCUCAUAAAAUUGGUCCCUCAUUAACCAGAAAGUUCUUUUCCAUCUAUGUUUUUUUUGAAAUUUUGAUUUUGUUUUUUUUGUCAACGUUCUUAGAAUUUUUUUUUUCUAUUUUCUUUUGUUAUCUGUACAAUAUUUAGGAAAAAAAACUGAAAAACUCAAAUCCUAUAAGCAAAAAAAAAGGAAUGUCAAAAACAAACACUAUAAAUUCAUUUUAAAACUACAUAUAUUCAUAGUCUAAUCUUAACAUGCUCUCAUCUCCUGCCAAAAUUAUACUAUAUUGAAUUAAAGCCUAAUAAUCUAGAAGAAGAAAAAAAGUAAGCACAUGCUUGUAAAAACGAAGAGUUACGGAACGUGUGGCAAAUAAUAAACAUGACCGCUUCUUAAUCCGUGUUUCCACAUAAUCAUCUUCGUCAACGCGCAUACAACACGAGAGCUUCUCUGCUAUAAUUCUCGUACUCUACUUAUCACACACACAUAUAAAUACACUAACAUGCCGCCACUCUCACUAUAUUGUCAACUCCAAAAAGUACAUGAACCAAAACCCUAAUUAACUAAAACUGUAUUACACACAGUACACUUGUGCAUUUGGUAAGAUAUGGAAGCACCAUUGCCCAAGUACACAGGUGUAAGGAAGAGGAAGUGGGGCAAAUGGGUGGCCGAGAUUCGUCUCCCCAACAGCCGCGAGAGAAUCUGGCUCGGCUCCUUCGACUCCGCUGAGAAGGCGGCGCGUGCUUUCGACGCGGCUCUUUACUGCCUCCGCGGCCCCGGUGCACGUUUUAACUUCCCGGAUAAUCCUCCGGAGAUACCCGGCGGACGUUCUCUGACGCCGCAGCAGAUUCAGGUGGUAGCUAACCGCUUCGCCUGCGAGGAACCGUUACCACCACCUCAACAACAACAACAGCAAGAACAGCCACCCUCGCCACAUGGCGAUAGGACGGAGGAAGGAGUUGGAAAUUCGGCACGUGGGGAAAGUAGUGGUGGUAGUGGUGGGCCGACGUUAGGACAAGUUGGGGGAGAUAGUAACAACCACGUGGGUAAUUGCAAUAGCAAUAGCAAUACCAAUAGUAACGAUACGACACCGUAUUGGCCGUUUAUGUGGGAAGAGAAUCUUAUGGUUCCUACAACUUCGGAAGAGUUAGGUACUUAUUUCAUGGACGUUGAUUCGACCAACUUGUAUUUCCCGUCGACACAACAUGAGCUCUCAUCUGAUUUUUACUACGAUGGAGCAUCUGUUGUUGAAGAUGAUUACUCUCAUUACAACAUUAACCUUUGGAAUUUCUGAGAUCCUUCUUUUUAUCAGUGAUCUUGGACCAAAAUAUUCCAUCAUUACUCAAGGUGAAUCAUUAAGGUACUAGCCUCUUGUGGCUCAUCUUUUUAUUUUAUUUAUUAUUUUCGAAAUCCAUUUAUUUCACAUGUUUUUUGGUUUGUGUCUAUGUGCUCUGUAUUACAUUGCACAUUACUUCCACUUGAGUUUUCUUUCCAGGAUUGGUUUGAUUUAUUUGUAACAAGCCAAUCUUGACCCCUAAAAAUUUUACUGACUUUUUUAGAAUGAAAUUUACAGAUUCUUUGUCGAGCUCUAAUUUGAAUGACAAAUAGCUCACAAAAUCAUAUAUAGUUUGCUUUACUUUUCUUUUACAUUGCUAGUGAAAUGUUUUUUAGACAACAUGAAACAUGCGAGUUUGAACUCAGCUGGUAUACAACAAUGGCGUUAUUAUAAAUCAGUAGGUUAUAUUUAGUGAUCAUAUUGGUAGUGGCAUGCAUGUUUAUUCUUCUAAAAUCUGCUAAAAUAUGUUUAAAACUUAGUAACAAAGCUGUGAAGCUCAUCCAUCUGAGCAUCUCAUUUCCACGUAAACUAGCAUGCUAGCUACUUUUCUUUUUUUAUUCACGAACCUACGCUCCUUUGAUCCUUUCUAUUGUCUGUGCAUUCGUAUUCAUUCAGGGUUUUUUUUUUAACUGAGUAUUCAUUCAGGGUUGAGUGAUAUUGUUUAAUUAUUCGACCUUAGUCUCUACCUCCACCGUGAACCGACCAGCCCCUUGAAUUCCCAUCCACCAUGCAGAUCACUUUUAUUCGGAUUCUAUUGACGCUGAUUUUUAGCGUGUAGCAAACUAUGCAGGAUCCACAAUCCAAGACUGUGUAUGGGAUGACAUUCAAGAUCGACUGGAUAUAUAGUCUUCACUCGAUCAAAAAUAUUGUGUGGACCAUCAUGAAUCAAAUUAUUGACUCUAACACUGCUGGACUCAAGAUUGAGUUCCAAUAGUUUCGGCGGGCCUACUUAAUUAAUAGUCAGUCCAAGAGCUUAAGGGCCCUCUUUGCUAAUUAAAUUCUUGUUGGCAUUUCUAACUAGAAAAGUGGUUCGUCCGUAAUUUACUGGUUUUCCAUUAAAUGAAAACAAGCACGUAGGUGAUAGUUAAUGUGCUGUUUUAUAACUUAUCACGUGAGAACCAUCUGUUUUUUUUUUUUUUGUAACUUAGAACCAUCUGUUUCUAGUCCAUAUGAACUAAAAUUUCAGAAAACAAUGUUUGUUACUUAGUUAUUAUUAGUUGCUUACAAAACUGUAGAGUUUUAGAUUGAUCCAUAUUAGGUUUUAUCUUGCUUGGAUUAAAUGAUUGAUUUCGAUUGUUAGAGCAACUCCAUUGGUUAGAGACCCUUAGGGACUCUAAUAAAUAAAAAAGUAAUUGAUUUUGUGAUUUGAAAAGUUUAGAACCUAUUUUAGUCUAAUUAAUUUUCUGACCUUCCAAUGGAGAACUUCGUUGAGGUUCUUAACUUUUUUUUUUUUAAAGAAAAUACGGUAAGCAAGCGCUACAAGAAGUGAAACAGCUCUUUCUACUUUAUAUCGAUCAUAAAUGGUCGAACACAAGCAGACACAACUCUAACAAGACAGUGAUCUCGGGUUUGUCUGCAUUGGUGCCAAAUCAAAAGCAGACUCACUGCUACUGUAAAACAAGACAGUGAACACAAGCAGACUUUCUAACAUACAAAGCAAGACAGUGAACACAAGCAAACCAUCACAAUGUUAACCAGCAAAGGAGAAACAUACUUUAACCAUUACAGACUCAGACACAAAGCAUUAAGACAAACAAACUGAGACACAAAUCAUAAAGACAAACAGAGCGACAAAGAAAGUAAAAUUAAAACCUUGGUUUAAAUGGAACUAAAUUUUGAAACUAUCACAGAGCCUUAACAAAUUUUAUCUUCUUGUUAAGCAUCGCUUAGAUUGUUUGAAUGGAACUAAGUUUCGAAACUUAUUUCACUUUGAAACAGAAGCAUCAUCAAUUGUUAAAAUCAACAAACCAACACAAGAUCAUUAUCAUCACUUGUUAAACGAAUCUUAAGCAUCAUCACUUGUUAAAAUCAACCAACCCAAACUCUGUUUCUAUGCUAAAGUUUCGAUAUUUUCAACAGACACUACUGUAAAAGUUUCACCUUCCUCAAGAUCAUCAGAUAAAUCACCAUCGACAUCAGUUUUAAACAGUUUUUAAGAAAGCAGACAAGGGAUGUUCGUAUACUUACAGUCUGAUCUCGCUUCUUGUAUGAGUUUCAUCCUUGCCUGGAUCCUUGCUUUCACUUGAAGCUGAUUCCUUUGAAGAAGUCGCUUCUCUUCUGAUCUUCAUCAUAGUCUCACCGAAGGAGAUCGACAUCAGAACCAACAGAAAAGAUUGAGAGAUAGAAGAAUCGACAGAGAUACGACAAAGAAGGUGGAGAGAUCGAAGAAUGGACAGAAAAUCGCCAGAAAGAAGAUGGAAAGAUCGAAGAAGGAGGAGAAAAAAAAAUUGGAUUUCACGUGAAACUCUGAAACAGGAGAGAGAGAGAUACAUCGGCUGUCAAAUAGGAAGAUGACACGUAAGGUUCCUUAUCAAUCCUUAAAAUCCUAAUUUAAGGGGCGGUCCUCUGAUUUCUUUUCUUUUUUCAUUUAUUUUUUUGCUUUUUUUUCUUUGGAACCCCAUCUAGGAAUCCCCGAUGGACAUGGUCUUAGAGCAAGAGCAUCAGUGAACCUCUCUUUGGGGUUCAUCUUCUUAAUUUUUUAUUAUUAAAUUUUUUAUUUUUUUCAUUUUGAUUUUUUUUUUAAAAAAAAAAAAAAAAAAAAGCUAAAAUAGAGAGAUUACACGAGAACUUAACGAGCUUAUCAUUUCCUUUGUGAAGUCGAAAAGUCACUGCCGAAAUGGUUCGAUCUGACCGUAUACCGCCUCUGCAACUCUGUCGAGCUUCACCCUCACGAUCUUAAGCUAAGUCUUCUUCUCUCUAGUUCUCUGAUUUUGAUCGUCUCUCUCAAUUUGAAUCUGGACGUUGUAACAACUUUAUCCACUCUCAGAUGUGAAACAAAUCUUUUCACUUAUAUAUGAUAGCAUAUGGGCUGAGAUUUGGGUUUUUUUCCUUUUGCACGUUUCGGACGAACCAAGACUGAGAUACAUGACAGUGAGCCAUAAAGAAACAACCUAUUUCGGAGUUUGGCUGAAUCAGAUCCACAAAAACUACAGGCAAUAAAAAAAAACAAAUCAGAACAAAAUCACAAAUAAAUUAUACAAAACCUUGAAAACAAAUGGACUAUUAAAAGCAAGACCGGCAGUUAAAUAACUCAGAUUCUUUAGCUCUGAAGAAUUUUAAACUAAACUAUAUCCAAAAAUAAUUAGAAGUUAAUAGAACAUAACAAUUAACCUAACAAGGAAACUAGAAUUAACAAAAAGUCAGCCUGCAAUUAAUACAUGCAAUCAUGUAAACAAUAGUUUCAUACUAUUAAUCAUCAUCUCCUAUCUAUAAUUAGUUAAUAAAAGCUUUCUUAUUGUACAAAAACAAAUGGCUCCGUCAUUUCUGAGCAUCGCAAAGUUCGUUGAGGCAAUACUUCGCCGGAUAUUCUCCUCCUCUGGUCUCUCUCUACAAACCCUUUCCAUCGACUCCGAAACCACCAUACAAUACUGGGGUCCAGCAACGUCUGAAAACAAACAGAAGCCGUCUCUCCUCCUUCUCCACGGUUUUGGCCCUUCCGCUGUAUGGCAAUGGAACAGACAGGUAAAGAAACUCUCUAUCUACUUCCGUCUCUACAUUCCAGACCUCGUCUUCUUCGGCGGCUCCACCACGACCUCCUUUCGCUCCGACGAAAACCGCUCGGAGAUGUUUCAGGCUUCGUGCAUGGGGAGGCUGAUGGAGAAGCUCGGUGUCGAGAGAUAUAGUGUUGUCGGGACGAGCUACGGUGGAUUUGUGGCGUAUAACAUGGCGAAAAUGAUGCCGGGGAAAGUGGAGAAAGUGGUUCUUGCUAGCUCCGCGGUUAAUUUGCGGAGAAGUGACAACGAGGCGUUUAUCGCGAGGGCCAAGUGUCAUGGCAUCGUGGAGGUGAUGCUUCCUUCCUCGGCGGCGGAUCUCCGGAGAUUAUCUGGGAUGAUAUCUUCUAGGAAACUAGAUUAUGUCCCAGAUUUUGUCUUGAACGACUUUUGCCAGGUAUUUUGAUAUCUUACUUCUUUUGUUGUGAAAAAUCCCGUAAACAAUCUUAUAAGUUAAAACCUCAAUCUUAUAACGAAGUUUCAAAAAAAAAAAUCGGAAACCUGCAUAUAUAAGCAUAUAAGUAAUACAUCCGAACGGACGUUACUUUUUACUAAUGGAUACUUGUGAAACGCUAAACAUUAUAGGGAAAUUGCCACAAAUAGCACAUUCAUACUACCACUUUUCAUGUUUACACUAACCACUUUUACCCUUACUUUUAAUGAAGGAUAAAAGACAAUUAUACCCAUAGGGUUAACUAAUCUAGACUUAGGGUUUAGAGUUGAGAGGUGGGGUAGGGUUUUUGGAAUGUGAAAUUUAGGAUUCUAAUGAAUAUAUAAAUAAAUAUUUAAAAAUAUUAAAAAAUAGUUUCAAACAUAAUUUUCGUUUUUCAAAAAGAAAUUUGAAAAAAAAAUAAAAAAAAAAUUUGAAAAAAAAUAAAAAAAGUUUUAUAAAAAGUUCGAAUUUGAAAAAGUAUAAUUCGAAAACAUAAAAAUUUUUACUUUUUUUCUAUUAUUAUUUUUUUAUUUAAAUAAUGAUUUAUUAUAUAUAUAAAUAACAAUGGUAUAAUAGUCUUUUGCCACUUAAUGAAGAAGGUAUUUUUGAAAAUGUCUCUUUAGUGGUGGUAAAAAUGAAAAGUGGUACCAUGAAAGUGAUAAACAUGUAAUUUCCUCAACAUUAUAUUGCCGUUAAAAGGAUUCACAGUGAUCAUCCAAGUUUGUUAUUAAAAAUCAGUUUUGCAUGCAAAAUAUAGAACCACGUUAAUUCUUUCAGGAAAAAAUAUUGUCCGCACACUUCUUUAAAAUUUGAAUUAACUAAUUAUACAAACGAAAAGAAAAUACUGGAGCAUAAAGAUGCACUUCACUAGUUUAUUUUUGAAAUAAGUGAUUGAUAUAAGAGUAACUUUAACGGUAAAAUUACUUAAAAGAUGUUUUCUCAGUAAUAUAAUAAAAGUAUUUUAAUAUUAUUUAGUUAUGUGAUUAAAAUUUAUUUUAUUAAAAAGUAUAAACCACUAGAAAUGAAAUACUUGUCAUUUAGGUAUGUAGAAGGGCUCUUAGAAGCUCUAAAUAUUCUUCAAGAACCUAUGGUUGGAGAUGCUGCAAGAAAACAACAGAGUUUGUCACUUUCAUUUGGUGAUAUUUUACUAAAAGCUUGUAUAACACGUAGCUCCCAAAAAAGGACUAAGUAAAUAUUUCUCACUUUUUAUAUAAAGUUAAAAAUAUGUAUAUCGCUAUUGAAACCUGAAUUUGGCUUGCAUGAUUAAUAUAUAAUAAUAUUCAAAAAUGGGGAAACACACAGAAAAUGUAUUCGGAGAAGAGAGGGGAAAAGACAGAACUUCUGGAGGGGCUCAGUAUUGGGAGGGACGACAAAACAAACGUUUCACCGAUUCAACAGGUUUGCUAAUCGCUAUCACAGUAUCACCAUUUUUAAACUAUCCCAACGUUAAUAUAUAACUCCGUUACUUGGUUUCUGACAUUUAGUUAAUUAUACUUCUUUGUUUUUGAAAAACUAUAUAAUUAAGUAACUACAGUUUUUCAUUAAAACAAAAGGAGAUCCCUAUGGUGCAAUAUUUGAUUGGAUAGUUGUAUGAUAAUUAUCUUAUUAGUAGCACGUACGUAGACCCUAAAACUUUAAAUUAGUAUCAAUAUGUCUUGCUAGUGUUCAAUUUAACCACUAAAUGCAAACGGAAUUUUAAUUUUUUGAAUUUGGCAUUUACAUUUCCAGUAAAGAUUUUAAUAAAUCAAAUAUAUUUUAUAUCAAAAAUAACAAUGUGACCUUUAAUUAAAGCGUCUGCGUAUUAACAUUUUACAAGGCUUGCAAUAGUCGAGGCUGCAAUAAACCUACAAUGUCUCGUAACCAUAAGAACAUCUCCAAUUCCACUUUAUUUUCUACUCUAGUUGUUGAUCAGAAUUUUUUAAAGAGUCAAGUCUUACUUAUUUAAGCUGGAAUGAAAAUCUUCUUCUCUUAUGAUAUUUUAUAGAGUUUCGUUUCUUUUAUCUAUCUCCCCAUUCGAACGAGAGAAUUGAGUUGAUAGCUUCAGUAGUGGUUGCUUGAUGGUGUGUAGUGGGAUGACCUGGUAGCGAUCAUAUUAGUAUGUAUAUGAGGCACGUCGGAACCGCGCGAGUUCACCGGGGUGGGACCUUUUUCUCCUAAUUGUUUCCAUUCUACCAACGAAUUUUCUAUAAUAAUUCGCAAAUCUAAAUCGGCUAAUUGUUCUCAGAUAGCACCCGCCCCAGUAGAAAUUUCUCGGAGUGAAUUCCUCUGUCCUGUGUGCGGAAGGCAUAUGAAGUAGUCCAGUAAGGAUUCAAGUCAGGUUGUAUUUGGAUUUUGCAACUCGGAAAUUAUCAUAGAUUUAUGAUCCUUUCCUUACCCUACUGCCUAUAAACAUUCAAAAUAUGCAAAAUAGCCCUUAUAUAAAUAUAACCAAGCCGAUCUACGAGUGGAUAUUGCCUUUUUUUUCAUCGGCGAUCUUUCAUGGAGUUGCCGAAGCCAGAAAUGUUUCAAUCCAACUUCAUUUAAUAUUUUACUCUAUAAUGGAGUUUACUCCAUAGAUAGCGCAAUCUAUUUUUUUUGUUCAUUGUUCCAUUAUGUAGUGAGAUAUAGAGUUGAGUUGUAUCAAUUUUACUUUAUUUUCUCAUUUACUCUAUUUUGAAGAAAAAAAUGAAGUUUUAUAUUGGAUAUGCUCUAAUGAGUAGAAUAAUGGUAAAACUAGAGUAGUUUUGUUUUAUCAUUGUAUUUGUCUCUAAACUAAGUGAUUACAACAAAUUAGUUUAUGUUAUUACAUAAUUACAAGUGGCAAGAAAUAAGUGACAUAUAUACAUAAAAUACUUAUCUCAUAUCUUAAUCCAUUUAAUUGAUUUAAACUAAAUGUCUAUAUACCUAAGUGAUAAAUAAGCAUGAGUCAUGCAGGAUGUAAUGCUGAUAUGGGGGGAGAAAGAUCAGGUUUCCCUCUGAUAAUGGCCCAUGACCUCAGAGAGUAAGUCUUUAUAAAUUGUUAAUAUCUUAAUCAAUGCAAGAAAUAAGUGCAUUUUAUAAAAUUAUCUAAUAUCUUAAUCCAUUUGAAAAUGCAUGGCUCUUAAUUCUCUCAACACAUAUGGUUUCACUAUAUCUCAAUAGCAUAGAGCUUUGGGUGUUCACUGUUCAUUGCCUGGUUCCGUUUAAUUUCUUUCUCCAAUUAGAAUUCUCGCUCGAGUCAUAAUGGUUUUUUAAAUGGUUCCAGGAUGUUGAGGUUUAGUGGCGACAUUAUAAGCUUUCAAAAUAUAUAGAACAUAAAACACAACACUGGAUAACCAAUAUCUAUGAUGUAAAUUAAUUAAUACUAAAAUAUGUCACUUGAGCAUCUCCAUCCUCACUCCAUAAUUUACUCCAAAAAUAAAGUGAAAAAUAAAGUAUGAACAAAAAAUAAAAAAAAUUAUUCCAUAAAUAGAAUAUUUUUAGUUUUUUUUAUUCAUACUCUAUUUUUGGAGUAAAUUAUGGAAUACAGAUGAAAAUAUCCUUAUAAACGAAUCAAGCAGGUGGAAAUGUGUGUUUAUUUGAUAGUAAGUAUAAAGGUUUAGAAAAAAAAGUAAGUAAUUUAACUAUGUAUAUUUACCAGGAUGUUGGGGAAGAAGGCGAAGCUGAGAGUGAUACCAAAGACAUCACACAUACACCAAACGGAAAAGUCCAAAGAAUUCAAUGGCAUUGUCAUGUCUUUCCUGUUACCUCCCUCUUCUUCACCAUAAUUGUAACAUCCAUAUUAAACUAAUAAAUUAUGAUAUAUUCCUCAUUUUGUCAACAUUUAUUAGAAAGUAUCUGUGACAGUCAAAUACUUUUGAGAAAUCUUUUACUAUAUUCCAUGUGAAAUAUUCAAUAAGACUAGAUAACUAUAUAGCCUGUGAACAAUAUAUCGAGAUAUAUAAGAGAUGAUUAUUUAUUGAUGUUCCGCUCUACUAAAUUAUUCCAUGCGACCAUGCAUGGCCCAGAAGAUCGAUCGUGAAUUCAUUAGAAUUUUAAAGCAAAUACAACAUCUUCGUAAGUGUGUAAAUCAAACGCAUGUCUUCUAAACUACACUUCCGUUAGAUAAUGUAAAUUUUAUUUUCAGUUCUCAAAAUUAUAAAAAGAAGAACUCAUCAACUCUCCCAAACCUUAGCUUUUUAACUCUUCAGUUCUACACAACACCGGCACGGGUAUUUUUGGAAACCUAUUGUAAAGUUUUGACGACCAGAAAAACAUCAACAAUAUACUACAACGACUAUGACGACUACGUCGCAAUCUUAAAAUAUACUCUAAGUAUCUUCUGUACAUUCUCAAUUUACUCUUCCAUAAUGGUUACAAAAGAUAAAAGUACGUACUACCGAUUGAAAAUAGUCCACUAGCAUCCAUCUCUUUACUUCUUUUUGUUUUUGUAGCUAUGAAACCCAUGUGAUCAAAAAGAAUACGACAGAUCACUAUUAACGAGCUUACUUUAGCUAGUUUGGGUCUUCUUAACCGUCUGUAGUUCCUCCCUUUUGUCUGGCCAGAACUUUACUUCAAAGAUAUCAACAAACUCUUCAUGGGAUAUUGAAAAAUGGCGGCGGCAAAAGUCUUUUCAGUUAGUACCAUGUGAUUAUCAAAGUGCCUAACUAAUUAUUUGGUGAGCAUACGUUAUCUGGUAAAGAGUAUUUCUAGAACCUAAUAUUGAGUAAAUCAUACGACCAGAGCCGCCCAAGACCUGAGUAGUUUGAAUCAAUUAGGCAGCUAGUGAAGAUCUAGCUCGAUCCAAGCGGAUAUGUAUUUUAUAGGUUAUUUAAAUAUAAGAAUCCAAAAAUAUGAAAGUAGUAUUUUAUAAAGGGAUCUAGAAUUUACCAUUUUCGUAAUGGCUUCUCUAAAGCUCUAAUCACAUUAAGCCGGCCGUGGUUAGGACGGAACAUAAAUUGUUAGAAGGCUUUCUAUCUAGCAACAGAUGGUAGAAAUUGAUUUACGAGAAGUCACGGGGACAUUAGUUUUUUUCUCCUUUCACAGAUACGCUCCCCCAAAAUAUAUAUAUUUCUUAAUUAGAUAUGGGCUACGGCAAUAUUGGUAAACGAAAAUGUGUUAGACGUAAGAAAUAAGGGACGAAUUAGGAGGCAAAACCAGAGUUAAAACAAACUCGAUGACCAAUAGAAGAGCUUCUUUCUCAAGCUGUUGCUUUUGAUUAAAAGAAAAGUUGGUUGUGUAAAGACAAGCAACCAAAGGAUCAAACUUGCCUCAACUAAUUUAGGUAUUUAAAUGAAAAUAGCUACGAAGUGGAUUAUGGAUAACAUAAAUGGCGACCUGGAGCAGAUGGGAAGAAGGGAUUAAGCAACGCCACAUGAUCGGACGGAUCACUCAAUGGGUGGGGGAAUGUGGGGGGGGGCAACAACAUCGAGUAGGGUUUAAGUGGUUCGGACACGUUAGAUUCAAAUUGAAAUAUUAAUUGAAAAGAGAAAAGUGUAAUGAGAGUGGGUCUAUAGGAGAGGGCUAAAGCAGGACCCAUGACAAUGAUCCUGAUGAGAUCCUAUGUUGAUACGCGGUUUUGAUUGAAUUCGAAUGUUUUACGCAACCCACCCUUACUAGUCUUCUUUCUUUUGUGUUUGCCAAAUUACCUGUAUUUAUACGUGUCAAACAUGUAUAUUGUGUUACUGUUUAGACGUUUAAUUAUUCCAUAUCAAACGAAAUUAUACGCACCAUGAAGGUAAUAAUUAAUUAUAUUCCAAGACUAGCUAGUUGUUUUUUAAAAUUUCACUUUUACAUAGUGUUGCAUUUUCGGUGUUUUCUUUUUAAUAUUGAUUCAUUAUGAUAUUACAAUUAUAAAAAAUAUUACAUAGACGAUCCGACAACCGAUAAUACUAUAUGUUUUAUAAGGAUUUACACCUAACUGCAUCACCUGAGCCGUCCUACGAAUUUACUUGCACCAUGUUAAAGAUUACUUAUAAAUUUUCCUCUGUAACUUGCAUAAUUGUUUGAUAAAUCGUUUUUUCCAGAAAUAGAAACAUGAACUUGUUGGUGUAGAAUCAUUAAUAAAUUUAAUGAAUUUUUAAUCAAACCACUAAACUAAGAGAACUUUCACAUAUUUUCGGUGUUUUAAAACCAAAAAUUAAACAAUCGAUGCCAGAAGAGACAAAAGAAGAAAAGCUAAGGGGAGACAAGAAGCAAAUUAAAACCAAAAUAAUAACAUUAAAUGAAUAAUUAACUUCGUACCAAUACAAAUUAAAUAUUCGGCCUCCGAAUUAGAGUAUUACAUAAAUAUAAAUUUUUAAAUUUGUAAAAAAGAUUACUUAUUAAAAUCUUAACUAAAUUAGCUAUGAUUUCUAAAAUUUCAGGGUGGACCAUUCUUCAUACAUUUGGAUUGAAUUUUUUUGAGUUUUUUCAAAUUUGUACUACUGUUAGUAUUUAUUUUGUAUAAUUCAAAAAUGUUGUUGAAAUCUUUAUAUUUAUUUUUUUAAUUAUCACGAUAAGUAUAUUACUUAUGAGAAAUGGCGUUCUACCUAUAAAGUACUAAUGACAAAAUCUUGAAAAUUUAGACAUGUAAUAAUGAAGGAAUCUAGAAGAAGAUAAACAUAAAAUCUUCUAAAAGUGGUAACUUUGAAAGCAUCCUAUUCGGCAAUUCCUGUUUCUCCAAGGAAAAUAUUAAUAAUUAUUUUAAAAUAAAUUAAUAUUAAUAAAAAUGAAUAAAAUCAAGCGGAAGAGGAAAGAGUUAAGACUGUCGGCUUUAAUCGUUUUUGUGGUUCUUCCUUCAUAUGUGGAUAAGCCUCACCGUUUUUCAGACAACAAAAGAUGACCCAUCUCGUCAUCGACACGUCACAUUCAUCUCAGUGCCUAUCCAGCGGGAACGGUCAACAAAACGCCACGUGUUGAAGUUUCAUGGCUCUAUCUUCCACGAAUUAAAAAAAUACUAAUGGAAUAUCGUAUAAGAUAACAAUGUUGAUUUUACGAGGCUAAUUUUGCUAAUAGUCCUUCAACUUCUGGAAUAUCUACAAAUAGUUUUCUUUUAUAAAAAAUGGUACAUUAUUGGCGUAAAUAUCUAACAAUUUUAAAAUAAAAUAAAAUAAAAUAUUUUGAUUAACAAGUUGAAAAAAAUCUAGAGACAAAUUCAAACUUUACGUACAAAAUUCACAAAAACAAUAAACAAGUUUUUUCUUUUAAAAGCAAAUUUAGUUUCUGAAGAAAAAAAACACAAAAUUAUUUGUAAAAGAAAUAUAAAAUAAUAUUUUUAAUUAAAUAUAAUUUUACAACAUAAAUCAAUCUACUCUACCAAAUUGUUAUUGAAUAAUAUUUUUUUAUCAAAGAACUUGGGGUGGCAAUAUGUGAAUAAGAGAAGUUGGAGAACUAAAUUGGAAAUAAAGAAAAGAAGGUGAGAAGUGCAUGCAGUAUGCGUGGAUGAGGAUAAGGUUAAGCCAACAGUUACUUCUGUCCCCUCUCUGUCCUUUCCCUCAAAUACUUAACUUAUCCUCUUCUUUUCCUUGCUAACUUUAAAAUUUUUAAACAAUUAAUGACAACGUGAUAAAUAAUAAUUAUUGCUUUUUGUUUUUAUUAUUUAAAGUUUUAUAAGAAAACCACCAGAGCACCUAGUAUAUAUAAAGAUCUCAUCUUCUCUCCUCUUUCAUUUCCUAUCUAUCUGUAUUGUGAGUUUUGAGAAUAGUUUAAAGAAGUUUCAAGGUUUUAUUCAAAGUCAUUGCGAUGGAUAGAGUUGAAUCUUAUAUGUUUAAUUUCACCGAUGAUCAGUCUUCUUCCGAGUCUCUCUCUUCUUCCUCGGCUUCCUCUUCCAUUGGGAGGAACAGCGACGACGAAGAAGAGCUUCACGGCGAGGGAAAGUCAUCGGAGGACGAAGCAGAGUCUUCGUACAAAGGACCUCUUGAUCUGAUGGAAUCUCUAGAAGAAGUCUUGCCCGUUAGGUAGAAAUCUCUUACAAAACUUCUAAAUUUGGAAACUCCUGUCUGAAUCUUGACAAAUUUGGAAACUUUCUGAUAUUGUGAAUGUGGGUUUCGUGUAGGAAAGGGAUAUCGAACUAUUACAGCGGGAAGUCAAAGUCUUUCACGAACUUAGCAGCUGCUGCCUCGGCGUUGACUUCCUCUUCGUCGAUGAAAGACUUGGCGAAGCCGGAGAAUCCUUACAGCCGUCGGAGGAGGAAUCUCCUCUGCCAUCAGAUCUGGGAGAACAGCAAAACGACUCCACGUGGCGGGAUCUCGAAGAAACACGUCAUGAGCUCGAGCAGGAGCGCGUUGACGCUCGCCAUGGCGGUUGCUGCUGGGGUGAUGGCGAGAGAAGGAUCUUCUUCCUCGGGAGGAGAUUCGUCGCCGGGGUCAUCGAGUCCGACGACAUCGGGAUCUCCUCCUAGGCAGAGACGUGGUAGCCAGAUGAUGAUGCUUCCUCCGCUGUAUCCUAGUCAGAGUCGAGAGUCUUUUGGUGAUUUGAAGUCGUCUCAGUCGUCAUCGUUGGGUUUUUGCGCUUGGAGAUCGUAUUCGGUGGCGGAUAUUCCGAGGUGUUUUCCGGCGACGGCUAGUGGUGUUGGGUCCAGUGACUCGUAGGAAUGUUAACAGUUGUUUUGUUAUUAUCUUAAUAUGUUUUUGAAGUUAACCUUUUUUUAGUUUUUUGGAGUAACGUCCGGUGAAUGUAUAUACGAGUUUAAAAAUUUUAAAAUGGAUCCACACAUCUUUUUCAUUUUGUGUUUAAAAAAAAUAAAGGUCAUCUAUUCGUUAUCGCCCAAAUCUUGGCGCACUCAAAUCUGAUAGGUGGAAAUCCAAAAUUCGCAUUUGUUGUUAUCCAAAUCCAAGUUUUAAAUGCCAAACCAUAUGAAAUAUUUUUAUAUUUAUCUUUAAAGGGACAAGUAGGAAUCAAUAAAAUUAUGAAAGUGAUAAGGAUACGUUUGGUGAGAAGGAAAGCAUAUCCGGUCGACCAAAAAAAAAAAGAGAAGGAAAGGAUAUGCAAGUGAUAAUGUUAUGUUUGGUGAGAAGGAGAGGAUGGGGUGGUUCGAGUCUGACACACCAACCUUCUCUUGAGUACAUUUUCCACGCAGACGCAUUUGCGUCCACUCUUAUCUGGCCAAAUUUGGAAGUUGUUCAACGUGGAUUUUGCUGGUGAGAACGGCCAUGUUGACUAUCAUGCUGGAAUUUGUGUAACAUAUAGGUCACAGAAGAAUACAAAUUACAGUACUUAAUUGGUCAUUGGUCGGCUGGUCUAUACAAAGCCGUUUCAUAAAAUCUUAUCAAAUAUUAAUUUCAAGAUUCUAUAUUAUAUGUAUAUAUGAUCAUAAGUAAUUACAAGAUUCAACAUCUCUAUUAUACCAUUUUUUUUUGAUCAUCAUCUCUAUCAUACAAAACCCUUCAUUGUUUCUUCUUGGCCUCCAAAACAGAUGGAACCAGCCUUCUAGCUGUUUGCACUUGUUUCAGAUUUAUGGAGCUGGAGAAGUAAUGAAUUUGAGACGACAAAGAUCGAGCUCAGUGCCAUUAGUCCACCUGAAAGCAAAUUGAUAGUAUAACUUAACCAUACUCUAUAUAUGAUUGGACUGUGUCAAUCCACAGAGCGGAAGUGAGAUGAAUCUUUGUUUCUUUUUUUGUAAUUUAUUUAACUGGAAUCAAGCACACUUACCGGAUAAGGAAGGUGUCAUGGCGAAAUCAUACUGAGGAAGCAAGACACCUGCAGCUAUAGGGAUCGAGAUGACAUUAUAUGCAAUUGCCCAUGCCAGAUUCUGAUAAACUUUCGACAUUGUCGCUUGUGCAAGACUCAGUGCAUCCACAACCUACAGAAAAAAACAAACAUUAGCUUUGACCUUAUAUAGCACUGAGUCUUGAGCAAUAAACUUAUAUGGUUUUGGUUCUUUGUCUCGUGGAUGAAUAUGCAAGUUAACUCGUUAAGAAUUUGAUUAUAUAGCAAGGAAUAAUGGAGAGCUUUACAUGUGAGAGUUUGUUGCGGACAAGUAUGACUGAUGCUGCAUUCGAUGCAGCGUUUUCUUGUGCCUCGAUCUUUAGUGCUAUUCCAACAUCAGCUUGAGCCAACGAAGGGGCAUCGUUUAUGCCAUCCCCCACCUUAGGAAACACACACCAAAAUAUCCCCCGUAAGCCUAACCAUCCAUCUUACACGGGAAACAAGUUGAAGAUAAUGAUUCCUUGCAAUUCAAUUGAAGAUCUUACCAUAGCGACACGAUGUCCGGAGGAUUGAAGAUUAGAUAUAAACUCGAACUUCUUGUCAGGAGACAAAGAAUAGUUGGUUGAUUCACUCUCAAUCCCCACAUUCUUUGCCACUGUUGCCACUGCCCCUUCCCUAUCCCCUGAUAAGAGAAUUGUUUUGAUGCCUUUCUCCUGAAGUCUUUAAUAAGAAGACCAACAUAAAACUUUAGGCACCCUCGAUGAUUACUGUUUCAGUUAAGCCGAUUUUUUUCAUAGAACUGAAAGGGAACUACUAGGAGUAGUACUACUUAGUUUCAUGAAAACAUGCACUCUCUCAAAAGUUUAAAACCAGUUGUUUAUUUUUAAAAAGGGAGGGUGAAAACUACCUGGCUACAGUAAACUCAGCAUCUUUGCGCAAGCAAUCAGAUAUUGCAAUAGCACCGAUAAUCCCUUCUCCUUCGCGUCCCACGUAGACAACGGUCUUUGAAUACCGAGACGUCAAUGAUGUUCUGGAUAGUUUACGAUCCAAAUAAUUUUCCAGCUUAACUACGUCCGAGGAGUCGUUCUUUUUGUGGAAACGAUUGGCAACCCAUUCAAGUGCACCCACAGCAACCAAACGUCCAUCUAUUUCUGCCAGAGUUCCAAAACCUGGUUCAGUCAAUUGGCCUCUUGUUUCUGGAGUUUCCAGAUUCAGCGCUUCUGCCUCGUUUACAAUAGCCUUUGCUAUUGGGUGUGUUGCAGUCUUCUCCACCGCAGCAGCUAGUUUAAGAACUUCUUGUUCUUCGUAAAUUAAAGACCCAACACCAGAGACGAUAGGUCUUCCUUCAGUAAGAGUCCCUGUCUGGAAACAUAAUGCAAAUUAUGAUCAAGUGAAAAUAUCUUAUUUUCUAGCAUCUUCCAUUUUGAUAAUAAAGAGAUAGGCGAGAGAGAAAGAUUGGUGAAGAAAAUCAAAUGAGACACCAAAUAUUUAGCAAUACCUUAUCUAAGGCAACACAAUCUAUGGAAGCCAGGCGUUCUAAGACAUCUCCUCCUCUGAUAAGAUAUCCCCGCUUUGCUCCUGGACAGAUUUCACCAGGUUAGCUUCUCACUGUUUAAUUACAAAAUUUUCUAGUAAUAUAACGUUCAGACAUCCCUAUAAUUACGAAUGAUAACCACAAUGACGGCAGUCUUAAGUGAAUACGGCUCAAACUAGAAAACUGGUUCUUUAAGAUAUCUAUGGCCAUUUUUAGUAAUUUUCAUAAUAUCUGAAGAAACCAUCAACAACAGAACUUUUACAACCUAUUGAUGAUCUUUUAUCUAUUAGGGUAGUUAAAAAAAGAUCAGAGAACAAUUGGUAGCUUCAGUAUCAUCUGGGAUCUUCCUAAUAACUUAAAAUCUUUGCACACAAUUAGGUUACUCUUCUCGGCUAGGUUUGCGGACUUUUAACUGCAUGCAAAACAAUAUGCUUGAUAACGUACCAAGAGAUGUGCCAAUUAAUAUGGCGGUUGGUGUUGCAAGGCCCAGUGCACAGGGGCAGGAAACUACCUGGUAAAUAACAAAAAACGAGUUAAUAUGAUGUUUUUUCACCAAAGUUUCUCGCUAUCCUUCAUUUAUCCCACAUUCCCUUCUCGCUAAUUCACAUUAUCUCCACAAUUAUCGGUUUACAUCCCUCAAUAAGUUCGUCUAGUCCCAGUAACAAACUCAUAUUUUGAUACUUCACAUGAAAAAUACACUUUACUUUUCAUGCUCACUCACCAAGACAUCCACGGCCAGUUUUAGGCUUAAUGCCAAAGGAUCUCCAUCAGGUCCAGCAAUAUCAUUGAGCAAAACAUCUGGGAAGAUGUGUGAACCAAUGUAAUACCUGAAACAUUAAAAUAACUGAGUCUUUACUUGGUGAUCCUGAACAGGAAAUUGACACAUGACGCUUCGUUUACACUACAACUAAAUAAACAGAUUCCUGCUAAAACAAGUGGAAGCAUCUUAUCGAAUUUUAGAAGUUAUUUCCGGUAGAUAUUUUGAAAAGAAAACCAUACCAGAAGGCAAACGUCACUGCAGAUAAAGACAUUAUAGUGUAGACAAAUGGUCCAGCUAUUGCAUCUGCCAGCCUCUGUACAGGAGCUGCAUUACCUUGAGCUUCCUCAACCUAAAAGUUCAGUGUUUCAUAAGGUAUUCAUAUUUUAAAUUCUCACAAAGCAUCCUCGUAAUCCAAACAAUCCUACAAAUAGAGCUCAUUCAUAUGUUGUAGGUUAACCUGAUUCCAGACAGGAGAGGAUGAAGUUAAGACUUACAGAGGAACCGAGGGGUUUGACUUAAUUUCCUACAUACUUUCUUGUCUGAAAUCAGGUUUCUAUAUGCAGGUUGCGACUGAUAUUUCUAUUCGUAGCUGUCUUUCCUCCUUUUGUUUUGGACGAGGAAAGUCAGCUACAAACUAUAGAGAUUGAUGGCUGCAUUUUUUUUCACGUGAUGUUUUGAACAGAUCCAACGUUUUACACUGUAAAUAACCCUCACACUGUGUAACUUUCAUGAAGAUUCCUGGCUCUAGAUUCAGUGACACUAACCAUUUUAACGAUUUUAGAAAUUGUUGAGUUGGAGCCAGUAGAAGAAGCUUCAAUCCGUAGAGGGCCAUCCUGAAAUACGUAAAGCAAAUUUCUUGUUUUAAAAAAUCCUGCUGAUAAGCAGCAAUAUUUCCCCCUCAGUUUUGUUAAAGUAGCCUAUACAUACCCAGUUUAUUGUUCCCGCUGAAACUGAGCAUCCUUCUUCUUUAUACACGGGAAGUGACUCUCCUGUCAGCAUAGAUUCAUCCACAACACUUCUUCCAGCUAGCACAUUCCCCUAUGCACAAAAAAUCAAUUCAACUUGAUCAAAACGACAGCAGGAACUUUCAGAGCUAACCAUUCACAAGGAAUAAUAACCAUGCUGUUUUGAGAAAAUAAGAAUUAUAAUAACUCAUAUCCAUUAUCACGGUGCAGAAGAGAAUGUGAAAUUUAACUGAAUCUCAACGAGCUGAUAGAUCUCAAACUUUUUUCCUUUUCCAAAAUUUUCUUUUUUUUUUGCUUUCAGAUACACACACUAUGAUUUUAAGGUAUCAGACAGUGCAGCAUGGAUAAACUAUCACUUACAUCGACGGGAAACGUUUCGCCAGGCAAAACCAAAAGCGAGUCUCCAACUCGAAUCUCAUCAACUGGUACAUUGAUGCAAAUUGAAUCAGAGGAAAGUACAGAAUCAGCUGCUGUGUUAUUUUCUGAUGAAGUAAUAACAAGUCUUGAUUGAGUGGAGAUGAGUGACUGCAAAGGCACGUUAAAUUUUUAAAAGAGAAGGAAAAAGCCUUCAAGUUGAUUUUGGGAGCAGAACCGAAAAGUGUCCAGCUUACCAAUAGUUCAUUCAUAUCACUAGAUGCUUUAAGCUUUGCUCUUUCUUCCAAAGAACGACCAAGGAGCACAAAACCAAGCAGCAUGACCUGCAUACUAAAUGACAAGAGCUACAAUCAGAAAUCUACCAAUGAAAAAUGUAUUUCCAUGAAGUAGAAAUAAAAAAUACGAAGUUUUCAUCAUAGUCCCUUGUGGAUGUAAUAGAGAGACUCACCGGUUCCUCAAAGAAUGAAGCAUCCCACUCUAGAUCUGGAUUAACAAGUGAGAUCUGCAUAAUUCACAAUGCAGAGAACUGCAGUUAAGUAGACUAGGAUACUCACUAGUCAGAACUAGAUCACAGGAUUAAAAUACUCACCAAACUGAUGGCAAAUGCAGCCAUAGAUCCCAAUCCAACUAACGAGUUCAUAUUAGGUGAUCUUUUUCCGAAAGCCUUUAUGCCAUCAAACAGCAACUCUACAAUAUUUAGUCUAUUCAGUCAUUUGGCUUUCUGAAUAGCCUCAAAUAAGAAAGUUCACUGCUACCAUUUUAAAGCAUUUACACAAGUCUCAAAUAAUAGUAGGAACCGUCACUUUCACCUAAAAAGUCUGAAAUUCAUCGUUUCUCUCUUAUGACAAGUUGAACAUUCUAAUACAGAAGAGUUUUAUCCGUUUCGAUAAGUUGGAUUUCUGAAUAGCCUUUGAAUGACUACUUAUACCAUUCGAAACAUUGAUGCAACAAAGCUCAAAUAUGCAAUCAGAGUAUAUACUAGUAUCUCUCCCUAAUAUUACUAAUUACUCAACGUAUAUGCAUUAGCUGGUAAGCAUUCUAGACUGAAAAGAAUAAGAGAAAAAGAUAUUUAAGCAAAAGCAAACCUCGUCCUGGUCCCAACAAAGCUCCAACAGCCAAACCACCUUUCACGUAAGAGUUGUGUAGCAAGUCCCAGACUCCUCCUAGUAACACCAGGUGCAAGAGAAAGUCAGAAACUCCAUUUGUAUUCAGAAAAUAGCAUCUAACAUAACGAGAAUUUUCAUUGGUAUUCAACUCUCUAACAUGCAAACAAUAAUAUGCAAAACAAUGUACCAUGAGCAACGUGUAUUCCCACGGAAUGAAGAAUAUGCGAAGUGUGAGAUCCGCAACACAGAGCCACCAACGUCCACGCAAACGCCACACGAUUCCUGCUCUUAACAAGCAAUUCCUCCUUCUUACUCACCAUCUCCUUCCACUUCUUAACAUUCUCCGCCACUCCCAUCCCGGAAACUCUCCUCUUAGCCUCAAACCCACUCUCCGUCAAUCUCUUAGCUAAGCUCUCCGCCGCAUCCGCCACCGCCUCCUCAACCUCAGGCUUAAGCCUCACAGCGGCGGUUUCGGUCAACAUAUUAUCCACAGCAGACGCGACUCGGUCAUCGGACAUCAGAACCGAUUUAACCCGCGCGACGCAGCCUCCACACAUCAUCCCGCUCACGUCGAGGAGAACAGGCUUAUCAUCACUCGCAACGGAUUUCACAGAUUCGAUGGUAGAUUCGAUCGAUUGAGUAGUGAUCUCGAUCGAGUUUGAUACCAGGAAACUAGGUUUCGAACCGUGCCGUUGGAUACGAGAGCGGCGAUGUCUGGGAAAGAUUCGCUUCGGGAAUUUAGCGUCGAGGAACUUACCGGAACGGAAAUGCAGACUCGACGGUGGAGGAAGAGAGAGGCGGAGGAGAUUGGUCGCCAUAUUUCGCCGGCGGGAGUUGAACGAUCGUCUACGAUAGUGGAAAAAAUCCAGUGGUGGUAUGGGUUCGUUUUAAGCGGUAUCCGAAACGGAAUAGUCAGAGACUGACACGUCGGAUUUGGAAUAUAUAUCCAAACCACAAGUGUUUUACCGCUUUUUUUUUUCUUCUCGUCCACUAAUAAGAGUUUUAAGCCGCGUUUGUGGAAUUAUUUUAAAGGCCCAAAACAAGUAGUGCCAGGCUGUCACCAAAAUCAGAAAGAUAAAACGCAGCGUUUUUGAAAGGUUGACUUGUAGUAUCUAGAGACUGGGUACGACCUUCUGGAUGAAGGAGAAGACUGACGUCACGUGUCACCAAAGUCAGAAAGAUAAAACGCAGCGUUGUGAAAGGUCGACUUUUGGAAUACGUAAGACUCUGGAUGAACCAGAAGGUUAGUGUUCCUGGGACACAGUGAUGAUAACAGCGCCACGUGUCCCCUGUCUGAAAUAUCUAUUUUCUGUACUUUAUCUUCUUCACCUUGUCCGAAAAAAUCUCAGAGCUCCGCUGCAAUGGAGGUCACUGCGAACGAACCAGAUAUGAGAAGCUCCAAAUCCUCUCCGAGAGUAACGAUACCGAACUUCUUC